CUUUUGUCCAUUUGCAAAUGUAUUCAGAACUUCCAGUGCAGUAAAGGAGAGGAACCUUCCUUCCAGGUAAGGCUACCUAAUUCAGCUUCUAUUGACUUUUUCCAUAGUACACCAUUUAAGUUGACACGUAGCUUUGCUAAUAUAAAAACCCCCAUCACAUUUCUUUCCACUGUUUUCUCUAUUAUUAUAUCUAAUAUAGUAAAUUAUUUUGGAGCUCUUCAUAAUUCCUUUUAGUUUUUGUCACCCUGAACAACUUGGUGUCAUCAGCAAACUUGGCUCCCUCACUACUUAGCCUAAAUCCUAGCAUAAUCAUUCCUCAGCUUUUGCCAUAUGCUGAAGACACACCUUUUUAUCUUGUCCUUUGUCAGCUGAGGUAGUUUGUUUUAUGGGGCCCAUCUCUUUUAUUGAACUUGGACUGUUCUGUUCCAUCUGGAAUGGUUUUACUUGUUUCAUAAUUGUAAUAGUUUUAUCUUGCUUGUUUUUUAAAAAAGGAUUCCAUAUUAUAGUGUUGUAAACCACCCUGGAUUGUUUCAGUGAAGGGUGGGUGAGAAAUCUUAUAAAUAAAAAUAAAUAAGAUUAGAAUAGCACAUUCCAAAGCUGAGGUGCUAUAAAGGUUGAGUUUGUCCUGCUGGUGAUAUUUAUAUAACAUAUUUUAUUCAUACAUAUACAAACACACAUCACAAAGAAUUGCAGCUGCAGGACUUUUAUUAAACAGCAGCAAAACCAGAGUUAACAGAGAUUGAUGACCUUUCUGAAAACAAAGCAAACACAAAAUGCAAUGAAUAUUCUUUGGAAAAUGUUGCAAUCUCUCACAUGAAGUAGCAUGAAUUGAGCAGGUCCAGAACUGUUUCCGAAUAGAAUAAUUUACUAUAGAAAUAUGUUAAACAGGAUCAGUCCUAAAGUAAGAGAUCCACAAUUCUGUUUGGGCCUCUUCAUUCACUAUACAGAUAGAAACAAAAAAUGUAUUAUUUAUUUAAUUAAAGCAUUAUCACCCUCCAUCUUGUUGAAAAGAUGCCCAGAAUAGUAGGACCGAUGGACCUGUCCAUUCCAUUUGCCCAGUGUUCCUUCCUGCACCUAAUAUUGAUCAAUUCCCUCCCGCUCCUGGGACUGUAGGCUUAUAUGAUACAGUUUACAUUGUUCGGUAGAUUCCCAUGUUACCCUCGGGAGAGACUUUUUGGAGGAUAGAGGGGCUGCAGGGCAGGAUGGGUUGCCUGAGUUGUUUUCCACUUGCAUAACCAUUGGAUACAAGCUAGGUGACUUUCAAGAUGGCUGCAGAGAACUUCUAACAGACUUACCACCUUAUGCUGUAAUUGUAUACUAUUUAUUGUACAUCUGCUGUGGGGAACAAUUUUUGGCUCACUGGGCCAGAUCUGACCAAGCCUGUGUAGACAUCACUGAGACAGACAUGCAAAUAUGCUGGGAAUGGGGGCUUGGGAGAGCACAUCUUUGUUUGAGACUCUGUCCUGCCAUUCCCAAAAUCUCCCUGAUAUAGUGCAUAUGGAAGGUAUUGAGGUGUCUCUGCUGGUGGGUGUAAAUUGCCCACAAGUCACUUCCAUAAAGCAAUGUGCUCAACACACAAGCCUGGCAGACCUUCAUCUUGGUAUUGGUCACUAGCAUCACAUUUCUUCCAUAGCAUUUUGGAGAGGCAAGCCAUUGCCAUAGCUGCCUUGCCCAUACUCAUGUGAAGCUCAGUGUCGAUGGAGAGAUUGCUGGUUAUUGUGGAGUCCAGGUAGACAGCAUCAUUUACCACCUCAAUGCUGAUGCGUGGGGUGCUGGCAACAUCCUGACUCAGGAUGUUGAUCUUCAUCAGGAUGGUGGUAAGGCCAAACUCCCUGCAGGUUUGGGCAAAAUGGUUGAUGAGUCUGUGUAGAGCUUCCUUGGAAUGCACUAUCAGGGCAGCAUCAUUUUCAAAUAACAUCUCUUGGAUAAGAACCCAUUGCACUUUGUUCUUGGUAUGGAGAUGUGCCAGGUUGAUCAGACCCCCGUUUCUCCUUGAAUGGAGGUAUAUUCCAUCUUCGGUCAAACUGAAAGCAUAGGAGAGCAACAGAGAGAAGAAUAUGCUGCAAGAGAGUUGCUGCAAGAAUGCAGCUUUGCUUCACACUGCUGUUUAUAGGGAAGAUGUCUGAGGAUGAACCAUCGUACUGGAUGGUGCCGUGCCUGUUCUCAUGAAAAAUUUACAUAUUUGGCUCAUUCAAGACCAGAUGUCAUUAGGGGUUUUGUGCAUCAAUCUCCAUUCCACUUUCAUUUAUGACAUUGGUUUUUGUGCUUGUAACAUCAACAGAACGGCUUUGUUUUCUGCAGUGUCAUUGCAUUUCCAAAGGGACAGAACCAAUUCUCUGAGGGAUUCUUAUGUAGAAAGAAGACAUAUACAUUCAUUUUUCUUCAUGAAGUACUGAUUUGCAGAGCGGGAGAUAGAGAGAUGGCAUACCAUAUGCAGCUGUGUCUGAAAUGAACAUAGCUUUCUUGGCUUGUGAUUGAUAAUGGAGUAAGACUGUAAUCUAAUUGGAGCAGAGAAUGACUUUGGUGAAAGAGCACUAUUGGUUCUGUAAGAUCUAAAACCUGGCAGCUGAAAUUGUUGGAGGUGCUAUAUGUUACUCAGCUGGAUUCAUUGGAAGAAAGUUGAACAACAUCACUACAGAGUUCCUUGCAGUUUUACAAAUACCCCCAACAAAUACUAGGCUAAAAGAUAUUCAUGAGAUACCAAUUCAGAAACUUGUCAGUCCAUAAGAUCUCAACCUAAGAAAUUCUCCUGUUGCGCAACCUACCACCUCUCUCUGAUGAUUAGCUCUGGAAACAGAGAUUGCUCCUCACACCUCUGCUCCAGUAUGCCUCAAAAGGAUGGGUAAAUUGAAACUUACUUUCAAGUGAAAGCAAAGGAAUUAGAUGCAGUAGAUAUAUCAAGCACUCUGCAAGGCAAACUAAAAACUGUAUACAGUAUGUUGUAUACUAUUCUGAAGAGAGCUGAACACAGAAUGAUAAAAGGCACAGGCAAGGAUUGGUAGAUGGGCUGUUGAAAGUUUUGGGAUAUGUAGCAAUGAGGGCUUAAAACGGGUGAGAAAACUUUUCCUGCCUGUGGAUCACAUUCCCUCCUGGGCAGCCUUCAAAGACUCACAUGCAAUUGACGGACAGAGCCAGAGGAAAAAGUGGGUGGAGCAAUGAAUUCAAUUUUUGCACCGUGGGCUACUUUCUACACACAUACUCGUAGAAAGUCCUCAAUCCUGUUUUAUUUUUAUUUUUUAAAAGUUUGCAUUCCUUGUUGGGAGCACACUCAGAAUCCCUCCAAAGUAUGGCAAAGUUUGGAGUCAAUCAAAGUUUGAUCAUUGGUGAUAAAUUUGCCUAACAAACGUCCUGUUCCUCCUGUCUCCCUGUACCUGCAACUAUAGGGGAUGCAAUCAAAUUAUUUGCAGGUGCCAAAGUAUGGCUUAGUUCAGUUUGGUGGGCUACAAAUUGUGCAGCCUUCGUUUAAGAUAAGGCCAAAAGUAUACUGGGUGGCAUUUAACUAAUGUUUACUCAGAGGAGAUCCAUUGAAAUCAAUGGACCUAACGUAUUCAUGUUAAUUAAUUUCAGUGGGUUUACUAUGAGUAAACAUUAGUUAAAUGCCACCCAGUAUACUUUUGGCCAUUCCAUUCACUCUUUACAAACUCUGACAAUAUAAGUAUAUAUUGUGGCUGAUGGAAAGCAUUUGAUGCCUAAAAGUAAAGUUUAAUUCUCCCUAUUUUGUGAAGAAGAAUGAGUAUGUUACAGUAGGGUCAUGAUAUAGGAAGUAUAUAUGGGAAAGUGUGCAUAACUUUUUCAUUCUAUGGAAAUGUAUGUGAAAGUUGUCAUAAGGUUACAUCCAGCUGGUACAUGAUUCCAGAAAGACUACAUCAGAUAAGCAGAAAUUAUAAAUGCUGGAAAUGUGAGCCAAGUCUUGGAAGCGACUUCAAUAGCUGGCGGUUGUGCACAAGGCAAAACAGUAUUGAUUUCCGAUUGAGAAUAUAAGAGAGAAACAAAAGCACCACUAGAUUUAGAAGAUGCUUUAUUUUUACUGACAAAUAUAUAAACAUACAGCAACGAGAAUAAAUAUAUAGCCAUAAGAACAGGUUAACAAAAUUCAAGGCCAACAAUAAUCUGUAAUAGUCUGUAAUCUGGAAUAUACGCAAAACCAAAUUUGAAAUCCAAAUUUAAAAAGAUUUAGAUUCAGAAUUUCCUCCAAGAAUACCUGGAGCUAGGGUGCCAACAAGUUAUCUUGGCUUUCUAAACCAAGUUGGUCUUAAAAAUGGAAAGCAUAUAUGUAUUCUCCCUUUGUCUUCAUUUAAUGAUAGAAUAACUUGCCAACUUUCCUAGGAACAGAAGAUUUUAUCAUUUUAUUACAAAACCAAUAAAAUGUUAUAAAAAAGGAAGGUGUUAUCAAAGGCAAACUUUAAACAAUAGAUUUUAGUCUUCCAUGCUUCAACAGAAAACAUUUGUAUGCAUGUAUGUGUACAAUUAUUUAUAUAUUGUUUAUAUUUAGGAAGGUUGAAAUAAUAACAUAAGCAGCUUAAUUCCAAAAUCUAAGUUUGGGUAACUGUUGCAUUUUUAAAAUGUAGAGAUCAGCCAAUGCUUAUUUUCCCUAUACUUCUAGAGGGUAACCUGACACCUGCUUAAAACCAGCAGAGACUAAUCCAAUUAAGUGUGCAAUCUGCUCCUCAUUCUGUCUUGAGACUACCUGCUCAAGUGAUUUUUUAAUAUCCCGCCCCCCUUUUAGCCAUACCCUCUUACUCCUAACCCUUAGCAUUCAACCUGAUUAAAAGGUGUGGUGAACAUAAAAUCUUGCUCUGUAUUUUGUGACAUUUUGGCUUACCCUAACUAAAGUAUUGCCCAAGUGUAAAUUGCUCAAGGUGAUUUUCUCUGUUGACAAUAAACAGUGUCUUUUUUCUUUUAAAAAUUAUUAUUAGAGAAAGAUCGCCUUCCACUUAGGGCAGCUUAGAGCAUAUAAAAUCAUAUUUUCAUUAAACUGUAAGAAACAAUUACAAAAGAGUCAGGGUUGGCAGUUUUAGCUUAAAGCAGGUUAAACACAUGUAAAAUAAAAUACCACAACAGUACUUUUGUUAAAAAAUCUUAUUGUGCGGCAAGCAUGAAUCUGAGUUUGUGCAGUCAGCAUACAUGUCUAUUGCACAACUAAUCCAUCUUAAAAAUUUGUGAUGAGUGCACAAAUUUUAUUAUUCUCCUUUUAAUGCCCUAGUUCAGCUCAUUAAUUUUAUAUCUUUGAUGACUGGCUAAUGCUUACAUUUGUCCUUCUAAAUAUGUAAAUAUAUGACAUUAAGUAUGGAAAGUGGUGGGCAUUUACAUUUAAGGUAUGAAUAAUGGUAGCAUGUAAUUUUUUUUGAUGACCAAUGGUUUCUAACAAAUAAAUUUGACUGACUGACUGGUUGACAUAACUGAUUAGUCAUUUAUUAAUUCAUUCAAAGUCAAGAAAGCAGUCCUAGUGACCUUAGGAAAAAAGUUCUUUCAUUUUUUUCUGGUGAGUCCUCUACUUGCAAUGUAAAUAUUUAUAGGUAUCUCUAAGAGGUUGGCUAGGUUGAGAGAUGGUGGCUGGUCUCAACUUAGUGACCUGACUGUAUAUUCAGACUCUGAUAUCCCAGAUCCUACUCCAGCACUCUGACCACUGCAUCACACAACCUCUCCUGUGUGCUUGUUCUUCCAGUUAAAGGCUCAUUUUGUCCUUUGAUAUGUCACCAUUCUCAUUCAUUCAAAAUGAGCCUAAAUUGAUUCAUGUGAAAUGUGAGGCUAUGUAUGAUGUGUGGUGUCUUAAUUUUAAUACAUAUGCACUGGGCUCAUGGUGGUUAAGUAUAGUAUCCUGAGAGCAAGGAGAAGUCUUCUAGUAAUGGUGUGUGUGUUUUAAAGCAUGACAUCCAAUGGUGUUUAUCUAUCAGUGAAAUAGACAUAGUUGAUGGAACAGAUUACCCCUUUUUCCUACAGCCUCUGUGCACCUCCCAAACCUGCUCCAAAAUUGGGGUGGGGGGAGGGCAGCACAGUAGGCUGUAUAUUUCAUGUGGCUGAAACCAUAAGCAUGGUAACUCCAGUGCCCAACUGAGCAUAUUGACAAUUUUUAAAGCCUAAAGCCUCUCUAAAAGUCAAAAUAGGAGGAACAUUAGGAGAGUGCUUUACUAGGGGAUAAAUCACAGGAAUGAAUGAUUUUCUUCUCUCUUGCUAAAAUGUAAGAAAUUAAUCUGGGAAAGCUGAAUUGGGAAAAGGUUCUGGGAGCUCUUUCAGCUGCAUCAAAGGAAAGUAGUAUCUUGCUAUGACAGGAGGGGAUGAUUUUCCUUUUUUAAAAAAAUAAUAAUAAUAGCGGUGGGGAAUGCUUACUUUUUGAACAUGCCAAGUAAGCAUUAAUUGGUCUGUGAAUAAUCGGCUUUUUAAGGGGUAGACUCCUCAGCACAUCGUGGGUCAUUCAAGCGUUCAAAAGAUGUGAGGCAGUUUAAUAUUAUUAAUUGCUAGCUAGCUGAUUAGAUUUACACAGAAUUGUCAGUCCUUACAGGCCCAAAUAAUCAUUCCUCGCAAAAUAAAAUUUACAAUGCCAUUAAAUUUAUCCCUAGCAGGUUUUCCAAAGUGAAAUCUCCCAACAGCAAUAAACUUUUAUUGCAUGUUUAAUUUAUUUCUCCCUGAAGUCGGGAAAUGUCUCAAAGACGUAUGUUGGUGCUCAUUGGUAUUAUUCCUUAAAUAUACAUAAACAUAUUUAAUCUAUUUCUUUCAUUUUGCUGCAUCUCUUGAGAUUAAGGCAGCUUCCAGAUGUUGCUCCUAGGAGUGAUGUUAAGUGGGGAAAUUGCUCUGGUAUUAAAAAAUGCCUAAUGAUCUGCUUCUUCUUGAAGAACUUUGGAGCUACCUUGGCUGCUUGUAUGUGAUGAUAUGUCCUUUUACUCCAACCUCUUUGUGUGAAUGUGUAAUUGCAAACUGUGAUGAGAGUGCUCAUCAUGUAAAAAUUGCAGACUGGGAGUGCCUCUAAAUUACUUAUUAAUAGAGGGAGAUAUCAAGUAUUGGUCAUACUCAGAACAUGCCCAUUUAAAUCAAUAGGUUUUAAGUUGCUUAAGUCCAUUAAAUUCAGUGGGUCUAACUAUGUCUUAUCAUCCAUAGUAAGUGUUGGACUCUACUUGGGUUUUAAAUAAUAAUAAUAAUAAUAAUAAUAAUAAUAAUAAUAAUAAAUUGAAUUUAUAUACCGCCCUAUACCUGGGGGUCUUAGGGCAGUUCACAGAAUAAAAUUGUGCCACCCAAGUUAGCAAGAACUAGAAUGCAGAACAAAUAUUGCUGAUCUGAAUUCUCAUCCAGCUACAGUGAUAUACACCAUGCUUUAAAUAAAUGUCCUGCAUGUUUACUCAAGACCAAGAAGUCUUUGUUUUGGGCAAAUUUGUAUCAACAACAAUUAAGAAUUCUUGCAAAAUCUGAUUUCUCACAAUGUUUUCACUGCUCUGCUACAAAUUGCCUCCUGUAAUUUCGCCAGAUUCCAUAAUAUUAGGUGCAGCAUAGAGCAAAAUAAGCAUUCAUGUGAUAAAUACAUUCAUGAGAUUGCACCUGGGAGUAGAACUGCAUGCACAAAUACAUCUGGUGCUUUAGAUUUAAGUGAACAGUGAUAACUUGUAUGUCCGUGAGUUCUAGUGUUGUGAGAGAUGGAGAAAAGCAAUGAAGCUGAAUUUUGAAAGAUUCAGGACAGAGAAAAUAAAGCAUUUAUUAAUGCAGCACAUAGUUAAACUAUGGAACUCAGUCCCACGGGAGGCAGUGAUGGCCACCAACUUGGGUGGCUUUAAAAGAGGAGUAGACAGAUUCAUGGAGAAGGCUGCUGAUAGCUGUGCUCUGCCUCCACAGCUGGAGGCAGUCAUGCAGUUGAAAACCACAGGAGGAGAAAGCCACUUCCGAGCUGGAAAGGAGGUGGGGUUGCGGGCCCACGCCCUCCCCACGCACACGGGGGCUGACUCACAGCCCCCGCGAGAAUGAGGGAAUCCUCGGGCACGUCAUUGCCCUGUCCAGCCAAUGGGCUUGCCAGGGAGGCGUGGCCUGAGCUAUUUAUGGCCGGCGCGCCUGAGGACCGCCCUCUCUUCGCUGUUCCAGCUGACCUGGUAAAGUAGUCCGGUAGUCUGGUAAAGGAUUCCGGGGGGCAUUGCCCUGUCCAAAGCCUAUGGAGGUGUGGGCCUAAGGCAUGCCCCCGAGCGGUGACCCCGGGGGAGCUCCUAGUUGAUGUACAUCAGCAGGACUCCCCCCCCACUGGUGGUUAACCCUUACCGGCCUUCAUGCAAUCGGGCUGAAGCCGGUUAGUUGUUAGGACGAAUGCCUAAGCCAAUACCGCUCAAUUCCUGCAAUCAAUAAAGUUGUGGCCUUUUCCGCUUGUUAACCUUAAAUACUGUGUCCUGUGUCUUUAUUUCCCAAGGGGGGAGGGGGACUUGCCACGCAAAGUGCUCGGAUCCUGCUUGUGAGUUUCCCAUAGGCUUCUCAUUGGACUAGAUGGGACACGGGCCUGAUCCAGCAGGAGUCUUCUUAUGUUCAUCUCACUUAGCUGCCUUAUACUGAGUCAAACCAUUCUAGCUCAGUAUAGCCUGCACUGACUGGCUAGAUAAUAAUAAGCUAGAUAUCUACCAAGAUGUGAUUUGGGAGGCAUUCCCACUUCGCCUUGAAGAGUGUCAUCUUUUAAAAUGGACUCUAUUACUAAUCUAAUCGCUAAACUGAAUGCUAAAUUGAAACAUAAAAAUCAGCGAAGGUUUUUUCUCCCCUUUGAGUGAGGGAAUUAAUUAGAAAAUUAUCAGUCAGAAUGAACUGAAGUACAAAUUGCUGAAUUAUGUUUGUUAUCUCAGUCUUAAGAGUGUUUUAACAGAAAAGAUAAAAUUAAAUGAAGGCAGCAACCCAGUGAAAAUCAUGUUAGGAAAAGGACGCAUGCUAAUAGAUUUCUUUAUACCACAACACAGCUUUUAAAGAACUAUUGAAGAAGGCAGAAUUAUCAUCCGAGUAAAGAGCAGCUUUGAAGAGAUGCUAUCUAUGUGGGCUUGCCAACAGACCAGAAAACAAAACCCUGGAUUGGUCCAGUGUCUUGUUUGGUUUGGUGGGCACAUGCCAGAAAAGUGAUAAGGUUGGUCUUUCAUCUCACUGCUUUACAACUAGUGUUUUAUUUCCUUGUGGUAUGCACUGGUAUGCAGAACCAACAACUCACCCCCCCGCCCCGAGACACUCAGCCUCAUGAGGAGCCAUGGCAUGAACAAAGCCCUCCUCAGGCCUAACCACUGCUGCCACCUCCCAGGGCUGGUGGAAUGUACGAGUGCCACUCCCUGAGGAGUGCAAGAGUGGGCAGCACAGCAUCUGAUGUGCUUCCCCUAUCACGCUCUGCUCCCUGCUGCUGGCCGUGUGCACCCUGGUUGCCUCGCUGUCGGUGCUCGUGAUAGAGUACUGGCACCUUUUUUCUAGGAAAAGACCACCACCAUUUGCAGCUAUGGGCAGCUUUCAUGCUGGGAGUUGAUUACAAACUUGGGGUUUUGAUUACAAACUUGGUAGACCAGAUCCAGCACAGAUUCAGUUCCUGGAAUAGCCAUGCUAGCUUCCUGGUGAGGUAAUGGCCCUCUGAGUAGGAGCCAGUAAGGUAACAAAGGAAGCGGCUCUGUGCAGGGUGACAAAUGGGUGGUUCACCCUUCCUCAACUCGCUGGUUGUUAGAAAGACAAAGGCUAGAGUUGAGAGUUUGAGUUAUGUGAGCUCGAAGGUAGAAGCAAGGCUGCAGGCUGGGCAGCUGGUAGACAAAGCUAUAUACCUGAUUUCUGAGGGAUUCCAAGGCUGUGGCUGUUGGGGAAGCAAGACCCUCUCGCAAUGCCAGGGACUUGGAGCCAUGAUCUAGGAACCUCAGGAGCUUCAUUAGGCUUGAAAUUAGCCUAGUGAACAACCAUUGGGUUGCAGCAUCCCACCUCAGAUAUGGAAUGGAGAAGAGUGCAGCAUUGACCUGUAACUGGCAGGCAUUGUGAGUCUCUUGUGGCUGGACUCCUUGAUAGUAUUAGUAUCCAUCUCAAUAAAGCAGAUCCUCCUAGCAGUAAGCUGCUUUUCAGAGCCUGGGCCAACAACGGAUCUCAGGGAUGUUGGGCUGAAGAAAACACACUCCAGGGUUGAAUUCAGGUGUGGCUAAUCCUGGGUGUAAACAGUAAAAGGACAAUGAUGGACUAGAGGGAACCGUGGUAUAAAGCAGCUUCCCUUAGCCCAGUGUUCCAGAUCAUUUAAUGGUAAAAAACACACUAAACUAUGUUCCCUAGGUUGCAGACUUGCAGAAGAACAAACAAGACAUAGAGGCAUGAGCAUGGUGCUAUAAUGCAAGCUUGACUGGUGUGUGUGUGUGUGUGUGUGUGUGUGUGUGUACAUUUGCCCCAUAGUUUUUUGGGGAAGAGGGGGAAGGUUGUUACUGUUAUUGUUGAGGAGAAGGCACAUGGCACAGCAUUAAAGAGUUAUGUAUACCCUGAGCCAUUGAAUCAUUCUUAUGUGCCAGAACUCUCAGACAGUUGUACAUCUUGAAAAUUCCAGGUUACAGGAAGGAGUUGAUGAUUUUAUAACAAAUCACAUCCACCAUGAGUGUGGUGUGUAUGGAGAGACAAGUGUUUGCUGAAGGUAAUACGUUAUAAGCCUCUUUUAAUCAAACUGUGUUUCUACCAAAGGCACAGGUAAUCUGACAAGCAUAUUAUCUUUGCUGGCAGAAGCAGCAACAUAGAAAACAGCUCUCAUCAACUGAGAGCAAGGAGAGAAAUGAGCAGGAAGCAGAAUAAAUCUUCCAUAUCUCUUAAUAUAAGAUUCAUUUUUUUGUAUUUUUUAUUUUACUUUAGUUUGCAGUUGGAGCUAUUUAGUACCUUGGAAUUUCCUUGUCCUAUUUGUCAGAGUUGAAGUAUGUAUGACCCUGAACCUUUUUCUCCAGAUUUGAACAACCGUUUGUGAGAUAGAAAGCAGUUGGCAGCUAAGUGGCAAUUCCGGCUUUAUUGAGUGGCUUGGCUCAUAACUGGCUAUUCCUUAUUGAAUUUCCUGUUAACAAACACAACAUGAAAGCACAGCCUCUGAAAGUGUAGAUGUAAACUCAUUCUCCCAUAAAGCUGAGAGGACAAUUUACAGCAUGCAAAAAUAAUUUCUGGCAUUUUCAAUUUUUUUAUUCUUUAUGCCUGUUUUUGGCACAAGGGGGAGGUCAAAAGGAAUUAUCUAAUGAUUGUAGAAGUAGAAAAGAAAUCACAAGUUAUUGUCCCCACUCAUUUUAUAGAAUUCCUCUAGAUUACUUGUUUAUUCAGUAUUUAUCCUUAUUUGCUUACAGAAAUCUUACAGGCUGCUUAGAUUGUGUUCUUUUUUUAUUGAGCACAUUCAGCUAAGUUCUACUUAGAGUUGACCCAUUGAAAUUAAGAAACCUUAGUCAUGUCCACUGACUUCAGUGGCUCUGCUCCGAGUAGAAUUAGCAUUGAAAUAUUGUUCAGUGCACUUCCUUGUCAUUUUCCUAAAUGAAAAAAAGGUCUGGUUUUGUAUGGGUGGGUGUGGAUUGGUGCAGUAGGGCAAGAAGGCACUUUAAUACACUCUAAUUGCAAAUGCAUUAUCACAUUUAGGGACUGCCACUUUAAUGUCCUGGUAAAUAUGGGAAAGAGCAAUGAUGGAGUUAUAUACCAAUUCUUCUUCAUAGUCUCCAUGCAGUCCUGCAUAUGGGUUUUGUGCCUGGGCAAAGCAACAUUUAGCUCUAGAGCUAAACCAGUUGGGCAUGGACAGUACUUUCCCAUUUAGCUUCUGACUGCAGCUGCAGUAUGGCAUGGAGCAAUGACGGUGUCCCACACUUCUCCUAGGCUUCUCACUUCAGGCAACUGAAAAGUAGGCAAGAAUCUUGUGCACAGAAACAUGCCUAGGAAGCUGUUUUAUAUGGAAUAAGACUGCUGGUCCAUCUCAUUCAGUAUUGUCUACACUGACUUGCAGUGGCUCUCCAGGGUUUCAGGCAGGGAGUCAUUUCCAGCCCUACCUGAAGAUGCCAGCCAUUGAACCUGGGACCUUCUGCAUACAAAUCAGAUGCUUUGCAACCAAGCUACAUAUUUCUAUUAAUUUUCUUUUUAUCUAAGAAACAUACAAUAAAAGCUUUAGUCUGUUUGUAGUGAUCAUCUUCUUUAAAAUACACAAUUUACCCCUUUAAGCAUCCUUUCAGACAACCUUAAUAUCUGAAGGGGGGGGGCGAUUUUGCCACAACAUCAUUUAGACAUGAAAGAUCCAUGCUGAACAAGGAGAAUCUUGUGUGGGCAGAACUGCAUUGGUCAGGUUUCAUGGAGGGGUGAGCAUAACCAUUUUAAGGGAGAAAAGCAUCAACUGCUAGUGAAAAACUGACUUUUUAAAACAACAAAAAUAAAGCUGCCAUUCAUCAAAUGGAAAUGGUCAUGCCAUAAAUUAAAAAGGAUUUUUUAAAAGUUAGCUUUCUUUAAAAUAAAUAAAUCAGUGCUCUAGAUGGGAUAGUGUAUCACUGGCUAGAGCCCUGGUAAAAUAGCAUCAACCCUUGAGACUCAACAUUUUUUCUUUGGACAUCUGCCUAAUAAAAGAAUUGCCUUGUGCUGAGUUAUCUAGUGUCUCCCCUCCUCACUGGCACUUCCAUCUGUGAUCCACAGGACACCCCCCCACCAUUUGUGCAUGUCUUAUUAUUAUUAUUUGUUUACUAUGUUUUCAAGACUUCUUCCUUGCACUGAUCAUUAAAUUGCUCUUUAAACUUCCUUGGAUUGCCAAAUAAGUGUAGCAAUUCGAUACUUGAGCCAUUUCAAGAGGAAAAUUAGGGGCUAAUUGGCAUGCAUGAACUGACACAAUUUUUUCCUUUAAAUAACUUUCAUGCUAAAUUAUAUAUAUUUUCAGUUAGGGCUGAUGCACACGAAGUUCCUUGAGCCUGGCUUUUAAGUUUAUGUUUAAUUCCUUGUUUAGAUAAUGCUCAAGCAUUUCACUACUGAGGACAGUCCUACAAAUGUGGUUCUUGUCUUUAUGUUGGCAUUCUAUCUUCUACUCACUAGUCUUAUGCUAGGACCAACUGGUCUUGGCUCUGACUCAACAGCUUAACCUACUUGUCCACCCUAUUCCAAUGGCUCUUGGGACACAUUACCUGCUAUGACCUUGGCUAGCUAUACACAGUCUUGGCUCUGACUGAUUCUGAUGCAGCAAGUUGCCACUUCCACACAUAUCCUAGAUAAGCAAUUUCACCACUCUUUCCUGUUUGAUAGCCCAGUUCCCCUUGAGUAUCUGAAAGUGUUCAUAAGAUAGCUAUCACAGAGAGACAUAUGGGACAAUGUGGAAUCCUACACAUGCUUGGGAGUGAAAAUGUGCUUUCUGCCCAUCCAGCUAGGACAUCUGCCCUUCAUUGCAACACACUGGGUGUAUUGUACUUAUUUGUAUGCUGCCUUUCCACAGUGAACUAUGCUCAGGGUGGCUCACAACACCAGAAAGUUUGUACGCUUCACUAACAGUUACAAAUUGAAAUAAUCAUAAAAAUAGGCGUGCGUGCACGUGCACGUGCGCACACACACACACACUUAUGUAAUAUUCUUAAAUGCAGAAUCCAAAAUACACAGCCCUAGAUUUCACCCUUCAUAUUGCACCCUAUGUGUGUCUGCUUUUAUGCAUAUACGCCUUAUUAAAAAAUAUGUUCAAAGUGUAGAUAGAUGGCUAGUUGUACUGGAGAUGAGGCAGGCUUGCUUGGAGAGAGAGGAAACAUGCUUUUGCUCUACAUCUUGUACAGAAUUGCGCAUGUGGGCAAGAGCUUAGCCAAUCUAUUUUACAGAGUCUUUGGAAUCAUACUGCUAACAGAUUAACGUGCAAGUUCAUGAGUAUUUAAAAGCAAAUUGCAGUUCUUAAUCAUUUGGAGCUUACAGUAAUGCAAUGAAGCUUCUUUCUUUCUGUGGUAAGAUUUAGUGAUCCUUGGGUCUCUAUAGUUUCCAGACUACCUUGAGAUUUUGUAGUUCUGGAAAGUCUGGUGCAUCAAACAUAGUAUAAUUUUCACAGUCUGGUUUAUAAGACAUCAGUGGAAUAAAUCACAAGUGCUGGAUGCAGAGAUAUCUGGCUGAAACGGAACAAAAAGUCAGAAGACACAUCAAGACAGUGUGCAAACUGUGGGGAAUGUAACGAGAAUCACUCUCCUAGAUAGACUAUGGAAACAUUCAAAUGAAUUUGACCUUGCACUUCAGACUUGUUUGGAGUAAUCCAGAGUGGCAAUGGGGUCAUAGCUGUGUGGAUGCACUAGCAGAAAUGCAUUUGAACUACUUCUAGUUGCCCUGCCCCAUCCAGGCAGGCCCGUGGACAGGGUGGGGCAGCCAGGUAAACUUGCCCUGGGUCUUGGAGGGAAAAGCUGGACGGGGAGCCCUGCUAGGGGCUGGCUGCAUUUUUGUUUGAAUUUAUAACUUUAUUCUAACAGGACUCCUGCCCUGGACCUCAUGCAAGCUCUGCACAAGCCUGCACCCAGGUAAGCCUCAGAGAUGCUGGGGUCUGCAGCUCUAUCCCACCACACUACCUGCCUCCGCAAGUAAGCAUGAAUGCACUUUCCAAAUGCCAUGGGAAGUAAAGACGGGCAGUGUUAGAGUCUGGACCACCCCCUCUUGAGAUAGCUAUGUAUAUCAUUUCAUUCAAAAUGUGGUAAGCCAGUUCUGCUUUAGGUGAAUGCAGUCAAAGGCUUGCCCUGACAGCUGGACUGUUGCGAGGUAUGUGCUGGUGUGCUAAAAUAUGCUCCUGUGGUCCAGCCUGAUUUGCCAACCAUUACUAAUUCUCAUCAUUAACCCCCAUCCCCCAGGACUUGCCGGCUCUGCUUCCCUCCAACUUCCUAUUGUAUUGUUGUCUUGCCGUUUUACUACAUUUGUUCAGGAAGCCCACCAUUUUUCUCAGCACUGCUGCCCAUCUGCUGAAUGAAUGGGCACAAGCUUCUCGGGUUUGUCAGGACAAAGUGAAGGAUGCCUCAUAACUGCGUCAUCUCUCCUGAGGUAGUGUGGUGGUUAUAAAUGAGCUAUGCAGUAAAAGGAGAGUCAACCCCAUUUACACUUGUUCCCUACCUCAUUAGGUGCUACUUUGAGAGCUUGUUUUUGUAACAAUAGCUGUCAGGCAACAACAGGAUGACUUUGGUUUAAAUGUCUGUUUGUAGAACUUACUGGUGGGGGGAAAGUUGUGUUGAGAAGCUGCUCUUGAUGUAUUGAGACAGCUGAAAAGUUGUGAGGUGAGAAGUACAUGAGGAUAGCAAAUGUGUGGUGUCAAAAUUAUUGAUUAACUAUGUGGGGUGUGUAUGAAUCUCUAUCUCUCUCAUGCUCUCAGACACGUAUGAAUGGUAAUCCUUGUGCUAGACCACAUAAGGUGAAUUACAACUAGGGAAUAAGUCACACCUUAGAAGUGGAAGGUAUUUAAUGAAGUGACUUGUUACAUUUAUUUAUCUUUUCACACCAUCCCUAUAACACUGUGUUGUUCCUAAUGGUCUCAAGGCACUUUAACUUGGUCAGCCAAGAGUUAAGGGAAUUUGCUAAAUCCACAGCAGCAACAAAGAAAAGUGUAGAAAAAUUAUUAGUGGCUAUUAUGGGAUAUAAUAUAGGGUACCUAGCAAAAUGCAGCCUGAUUUAAUUGACAAAAAGUGUCAGUGAAUAAAGAAUGCAGAUCAAUAAUUAAUUUUACCUUCAUUUUAAUAUUUUAGCCCUAGACAGAUUUAGUGCAGGCUGAAUGUAGUAAAAGCCUGAUUUAAAUUCUCUUUCUUUGAAGUGUUAUGAUGGGACUGUAAGAGAUGCUUCUCUCCCUCUCCAUAUCUCCAAAUUCCAAUCCAUAUAAAAACCUCAGAAAACAGUCCAUCUGGAAAGAGGCAGAUAUAACCCUGAACACAGACAUUUAGUUCUGCAUCUGUCAUUGCUGGAUGUCUAAAUAAAAUGGGGAAGCUGCAUAUAGCUGAAAAACCUUGUCAAAAAUUAACAUGGGGACAUGAGCAGAUUUUAGAUGACUUUUAAAUAAGAAGGUGAUGUGUGACGGACCUUUUGGCUGCUAAAUACAGAACUAGACACCAGGCAGUUUAAACAGAAGGAAAUAACUGAUGCAGGAGGACAGAAUGAUGUUUGGUGGUCAUUAUAACAGGUUCUGAAGCAAUCUAUUAUGUCAGAUUUGUGACCUGUAUUGGCCAGGCUACCAUCUGAGAUGAUGAGAGUGUUAAGUCUUUGGGGGGCAUCUUCAGCCUUGGGGGAGGGCACCAACCUUCUUUAGGCCCAGGGACACACUUAGAUUUUUGAGUGACCAUCAGCCUCCCUGUUCACUUUUUCCCUUCCUCCCCGGAUCAAGCCCUUUCUUCUCUUCACUUUUCCAAGGAAUCUGGGUAGAAGUCAGAUCCAGCAGAACAAACCUGUACCUUGGAAAACACAGAGGUGAAAAAAGGUGGAAAUGAGCACCAUUCUUACGACUUCCUCUUCUAGCUUUAUGUUUUCCCCAGUGAGAAUAGGGUAACCACCCUCACCAUCUCAUGACAAAGGGAACAGUGAGUGGGAGGGCUCAGAGUCUUUCUGGGUGACAGGGAAAGACACUGAGGGUGACAUUACACUCACAGACACCUGCCUUGGGAUGGAUGUUUUGAAGUUAUCCGUGGCAACAGAAGAACCCCAUCACUCCUCCUUCCUCAGUGUGCACCUCUAAAGGGAAACCCAUUCACCUCUUUUGUGAUGCAUGUGGAAGCUCAGCAAACUUUCACUUUGCAUGUUAUGCAUAAAGUGUGAAAAGUUGACAUGGAAGGGAUCUCUUGCUAUUGUGUGUAACAUCUGAAACUGGAUUUCAAAACUGUGGACCCUGUGCCUAGAGAUAAGAGUGAGCAUCUGCACAAACAGCAGACCUGCACCACCAAGCCAACCAUAGCAUACCAGCCACAUAUAUGGUAUGGAGCCAACACUGCCUCCCCCUGGGUUUGCAGGGCAAACAAACAAAAACAAUUAUAAAGCCUGUAAUCUCUAUGCAUAGUUACCUGGAAGUAAGUGCCAUUGAACAGUGAGAAAUACUUCUAAGUAAACAUGCUGGGAAUGCACUGCAAGCCAUAGAUGGACCACAUGUUGCAUUUUGUAGGCCAUAUGUUGUACAGGCCUCAUCAAAGCAACACUAUGCUGACACUAGAAAGCAUCUAGAAAUGGUGUACCAAACACUCAGGAGUUGUUUUGUCCCUGCACUCUCCUGUUGGACUGAUCAGUUCAGCAGAGAACAUUGAUCAACUGUACUACAGAACGCCAAAUUACAGGGUGGGAAAUUCAGCUUGCAAAAUUUAUGUCUUCCUGGAUUAGUUUCCCCACCCUGCUCUUUAACGGAUAUGAUGUGAUAUAUAUUGUGCCUUACACCUCAGGUUUUGCCUUCUGUUGCAUUCUGCAAUAUUCAUCCCAAAGAUACUCAGAAUGCCAUUAAAGAUAUGCAAGAAUCCCAGUAGGAAGUUGAGCUAAAAGUGCCCUGGCUGUAAUUGCAGAUUGGAAAUAUUCUCAAGCCUGCUUUGCAUAAUAGUUCAAACCAUCUCUGGGCCUUUGAGUUUUGAUGCAAACAGAGCAUUAGUUUACACCAAGGCAGAGGCUCAUGCUGCAAAAGAGCCUGACAGGUACAUUUGGGCUAGGUUAUAAUGACUGCACAGAAUUGAAUUUUAGUGCUUGCAUUGUGUUUAUGUAUAUGAGCAUGAUGAUUUAGAGCACCAACAUCCUGUAUUUGUCUUAUUAUGAGUGUGAAUAUGAGCUUUGGCUUUUUAUGCAGAUGAAAAAUAAUCACCUGUCUUGUACACCUUGAAUAAAUCAUCCAACCAGAACUGCUAUUGAUGUUACAUUGUCUUGCGGUUGUUUUGAAUGUCAAAGUGAAGUUAGUAUGAAAACAAUUUUUAUUCCACCCAUUACCAUUUACCUUAAUUCCUUAUCAUGGUAAAAAUAUUCUCUUCAAGCUCCCUGCUCCCCAAUGUCACUUGUGGAUUUGUCAACAUACAGCCAUCACUUUACUUCCUGUUACAGUGGUACCUCUGGUUACAAAUGCUUUGGGUUACAAACGCUUCAGGUUACAGACUCUGCUAACCCAGAAGUAGUACCUUGGGUUAAGAACUUUACUUCAGGAUGAGAACAGAAAUCGCACCGUGGCGGCAGCGGGAGGCUCCAUUAGCUAAAGUAGUACCUUGGGUUAAGAACAGUUUCAGGUUAAGAACGGACCUCCAGAACGAAUUAAGUUCUUAACCAGAGGUACCACUGUAUAUGCAAUAGAAAUAGAUAUGUGAAUUUUUGCCAUUUUUUCAUUUCCUUUUUAGUUAUUGUGUGGUCAUUGUUGGUGGCCUAAAUACUCACAUGUGAUGAGGAAAAUCUACUUGCUGAGCAGCUUUCAAAGGUUAAAACUCAUGUCCAGAGUCUUUGCCAUGCAGAAUAAUUUUCUGACAGGACCUUCAUGUGAAAACUAUUCCUGAAAAUCAUGGUCAAGACAGUACAACAGAUAUAAUAUGUGCUGGAUCCAGACUUCAUUCUGCUUCUCACCCUCUUCAGAUCCCCUUGUAACCUCUUUCUAGGGAUGAAAUAAUUUGUCAAUUUCAGUCUCUCAUUUUUCUAAACUUAAAUUCAGUUCUCCACAUUUCACCAGCAAUUUGUGAUUUUUUUAAAGAAAAAAUACUCACGAAAAUUCUGCAGCAUUUUAGUGUGAAUUUCUCCUGCUAAACACAUUUACGCAUACAGCUUUGACUAAUGUACAAUUAUUUGCAAGCAAUUCCUCAUAAUAUAAUGCAUUUUUGUAUGCUAUCUUCACUAACAUAUUGAUAUGCAGUUUCUCCAACACAGUGGUACCUCUGGAUAUGCACACCCCCGGUUACGUAUCCUUCAGGAUGUGAACGCGGCAAACCCAGAAGUAUUUUUCUGGGUUUCGCCGUGCAUGCAUGCACAGAAGCGAUCCCUCCGGUUGUGCAAACCUCGGGAUCUGACUGGAGCCCCGGAAUGGAUCCCGUCCACAACCAGAGGUACCACUGUGUAUGCAUUUUUGUAUAUAUUCUUCCUUUGGAGAACUGCAUCGUAAAAUUCAGCCAUGUGGGAAUUUUGAACAAUGUGCUAAUAUGGCUUUAACUGUGAACUGAAUUGAAUUUCUUCUCAGUCCCUACCUCUCACACAGUGUCCUGGAUGAAUGGAGGACCCUUCAUGUUCUCAGUAUGGGAUGUGGAGGUGUCAGCUGCAGAGUGAGGGAGAACUCAGCACGAGUUGCUCCUUCCUACUAGUGGGAUUUUGCCACUGGAUCAAAAGACUCCUGUGGACAGAGGAAGCCUUGAAUCUGAUCUAGUAUCUGUUGUAGUUAAAAUGGGCUGAAUAGAAAAUGUGCAUAAAACACCAUGUUGUGUGCACAAAUGUACAGCAUAAGCAGGGAAGUAUGGUUUUACAUAAAUAUUCCUAGCUUUCAAACAGUAUUGGGGACUUUGCGUGCAUGUUCAUUCAUUUUGGUUGCAUAUGCACACCCUGCAGUUAAUAUGGGAAAUGCUCACAACCAUGCAGGCAUGUGGCUGCCUGUAUCAUUUUUAAGAGUUACCACCAGUGCAGGUUGCUAAUGUCAGCAGCGGGAACUCCUAGCCAACCAACAGACAGCCUGCAUGUUGUGAGCAUUUUACACAUUCAUGCUACUACUGGGGACACAUAGUGAGUCAGCAGCUGCACACUCAAAUGAUGCCAACUCUGGUGAUCCUCUGUGUUGGCAUAUAAUCUCAACUAAUAAAGUACUGGGGGUCUUCUCCUCUUCAGUCUCCAUUCAGCAAUGGUGGCCUCUUCCUAGCCCUUCUUAUCCAUCACACCACCUUCCAGGCCAACACUGCAUUUUAAUUCUUUGCAUUAUUUGGAUUACCAGCCCAUAACAAGAAGUUCAGUAUUGAUCAAUGAUCAGCCAUUGCAGUUUAAUUUGUCUAAUGGUCAGCAAGUGCCAUCUUGGUAUAUUGCCGGCUGAAUUUGAUUAUAUUUCAGACAGUAUUAAAUGAAACUCCUUUUGAUCAAUAAAGCAGGUGAAGAGCUUCAAGUUAGUCAAGCUUUGAUUAUAUAGACAUGUACCACAUAUCUUACUGGAAGCUUAUUUUACUAGGGGCUGGAAGUCUAGGUCAGUCCAGUCAAUGCUAAAGAUAAGUUGCUAUGCAAGGGAACUCUAGCUUGGGAGCUGCGGUGAAACUGCCUUAAAAGAGUACAGAUUGAAUGUAAACAUUUCUUAAAAGCACUGUUGAAAGUACCUUCUUGGUUUAGAUUUUCAAGCUCGUUGGGUUGCACCUCUAGUCCAUAUUUGAUCACAAUGCAGGUAAUCAUUAAUCAUGUGAAGCCACAGCACACGCCAGAAUUUCCUGCGUCUCAUUGGCCUUGCCUAUCAUCCCUCAGGACCAAGGAUGGGGAACAUGUUGCCUUCCAUAUGUUGGGCAACAAAGCUCCCCUCAUCAAUGACCAUCAGCAAUGCUGGCUGGGACUGAUGUGAGCUGAAGCCCCCAAACAUCUGGAGGGCUGCAGAUUCCCACACUCCUGCUAUGACACUUAAGGGAAUUUCCUUGCUGGGCACAGCAUGGGAUUACAAAAAGGUGGAGCUGGCAUACACCAAAUUUGUGAUUAGAUAGAAGAGUCAUAAUGCAGGUACCUAAGAGGUUCUUCUAUGUUUCAAGCAGUGGAGAAAUAAAUACUACCUAGCAUUUAUGUAGUGCUUUUAGAGUUUUAAGUGCUUUCCUCAUCUAAAUCCAUCCUUCUGUACAUCAUUUCCAUCAGAAAUUGAAGAUACUUUUGUUUGAAUUGGCUUUUAGUGUAUAAUAUCGUUUAGUUGCUGCUGCUCCCCCCUUUUAAGAGUAGAACACCAUUUUAGCCUCUGUACUAUUGGUUUUCUUCAUAUUGGUUAUUCAGUGAAUCAAUCAAUCAAUCAAUCAAUCAAUCAAUGUCAUUUGUACACUUAGGAUUAUACUGUACUGUUUUUAUCCAUAUUCUGGAAGCUACUUAGGGUCCAAUAGCUGAAAGUCACAUAUAAAUUAAGUUGUUAUUAUUAUUAAAACACACCAAUUGCUUUAGGUAUCCUUUAUGAACAAUCCUGUAAGGUAAGCAAAAAAUGUGAAUGGAUGAAUGACUUACGUACUUGUUCUUCCUGCUGUCUUGUAAACAUGCAAAUUUGCUUGGUGACAGUCUUAAUUAAUAGCACAUUCUAGUCUGAUAACAAUGAAUCACCUUAGGUUGAUGGAAAAGUACAUCCUUUACAUGCAGAAGAUACCUGUUUCAAUUCCCAGUAUAUCUGAAUAGGGCUGAGAAUGUCUCCUAAAUGGAGAUGCACUGUCUGUCAGUGUAGAGAAUACUGAGUUAUGUCGACAACUAAUAGCUCCCAUGCCCUCGUGCUUUAAAUUGGUAGCAGACUUAGCAGCAGAGCUAACAGGAAUGGGUUUCUCACCUACAGUUUGUUAUGAGCUGUUUGUCUCUUGCACCAUGGUUCCGGCUGCAGAUUUGUUGUGCUAUAUUAGUAAAUGUGACCUAGUUCACCCAUCCUCUUUACCUUGCCUCUCAGUUUCCCUGCAUAGUCUCAAUGAGUUGCUCAAGAGAUGAUCUAGUUGAAAUGAACAUGCAGGGGAUGUUCAGCCGGCAUGUCUGCAAUGUGAAAUACUGCAUUUAUAGCCUCACUCAGCAGCCAGUGUAAUUAGGAUACUAGGACAACAUUAUUUUUUUUAACAGAAAAUACUUUGAGGAGAAUUACUGGGUUGCACAAAUAAAAUAAUGUUGAUCUCAAGUGAGGUUUUUAACAUACAUGACGGUGGCAGGGAGGAAUCUACCAUGUGUCUUAAUGUUAUUUUGUGCUCACUGGACAAUCCCCAGAAUCCAGGUGAUUUGCUUUGUAACUGAAGUACAGUGGUACCUCUGGUUAUGUACUUAAUUCGUUCCGGAGGUCUGUUCUUAACCUGAAACUGUUCUUAACCUGAAGCAUCACUUUAGCUAAUGGGGCCUCUCGCUGCUGCCGCGCCACCGGAGCACGAUUUCUGUUCUCAUCCUGAAGCAAAGUUCUUAACUCGAGGUACUAUUUCUGGGUCAGCGGAGUCUGUAACCUGAAGCGUAUGUAACCCAAGGUACCACUGUGUAUAUGUAAGGAGAACAGUGGGCUGUGAAUAUUUUGCUUCCUUUGUUUUGUGGGAGGGAAAUACAGCUUUUGUGAACUGCAUGAAAUGUAAGGUUUUAUUUCUACACUUAGUUCACCUUGUUCCUAGGAACAGAAAAGACCACAAUUUUAUGAUGGAAACAUUCUGCUACAGGAUACAAGUCAAACUUUAACACUGGAUUCCCCACCCACCCCUUAACUUGCAGAUUGUUUUGUUUUAGUAACUGGAUUUAGUAGGGUGAACUGAGGAAGGGACAGUUCAUGCAUGCAAGUUAAUCAUGUACAAAUAAAAGCAAGUUGUGACUUACAUGGAUGUGUGAAUGCACCACCACAAAUUACAGACCACAAGUAGAGUGUAAUGUUGUUUCAUUCACGCAUUCAACUUUCAUAAAAUGUGGAGUGAUGAGACAACUCAUAGGCUUGGUUUAGACAUAGACUAAUUCAUACCUAUUCAUAAUAAUUUAUAGGAAUGAAAGGUAAUUCAUAAACCAACUGAUAGGUCCAGUUCAGACAUAGCUGGCACCCAUGGUUUCCCACAACAUGAAUAGUAAUUUCCAAUAAAUAAAUAAAAUGUUCAGUCUUUGAGCUUGCACACUCCUCUCCCCACCCUCCCUCUUUUACAUGCCAGACGAAACAUAUGAAAACUUCCAUUUCACUUUUAACAACCACAGUUCCCUACAGUUAUUUAUUUAAGCUAUGGUUUGAGAACAAGUCAGAAUCUGAAAUAACAAUUUGAUCCUGGGUUGUAUCUAAUGAUAGUUGUAAACAAACUGCAGUUAAUAGGAGAACUAUGAUUUGUUUAAAAGUUGUUUCAACAGGUUAGUGCUUCUGGCUGUUAACCAGAAGGUUGGUGGUUUAAGCCCACCCAGAGACUGCUGUGGGCAAGAUUCCUGCAUUGCAGUGGAUUGGACCAGGGUCCCUUCUAACUACAAUUCUAUGAUUAUAUAAAGUGGAAGCUAUUGAUCUCUUUCAGUAGAGGCUUGUCUCUAUAGCAGGGAAAUAUGUCUACCUAUUAUGGCUAAACUGGAUCACAGAGUGCCUCCUUAGGACUCAGUGGAGUUGAACUAUGUUGAUCAGAUCUAGAAACAUCCAGAAGUGGUGACCUGAGUCAUUAAAUUCUGCUCUGUGGAUAGCCGCUACAAAUGAUCAAGAGGGAAAAAUGAUGACUAGUACUUCAUAGGAAUUGCUUUUCAAUUGAAAGUGGUUGCCACUAUCCCACUGAAGCUGGAAGAGAUCCUUUCAGAAGUCUCCCAUGAUAAUGAAUCGAGCUAAGUAGAAGCAGUUGAAUAAAAAUUGUAUGUAGCCUAAAUUCACUUUGACAUUCAAAACAACCAAAAGUAAAUGUAACAUUAAUAGUAGUUCUGGUUGAAUGAUUUAUUCAAAGAUGUACAAGGCAGGUGAUUAUUUUUAGUCUGCAUAAGCCAAAGCUCAUAUAUAUGCAAUGAGACAAGUACAGGUUGCUGGUGCCCUAAAUCAUCCUGCUCAUAUACGCAAACACAACACAGGUAUCAAGAUUCUAUUCUAUGCAGUCAUUAGAAUAUUGCCCAAAUGUACCUAGCAGGCUGCUUCACAAGAACCUCUGCCUCAGUGUACAUAAAUGCUUUAUGUGCAUCAAAAUUCACAGGCACUUCUACAGUCUAGAAAUGGCCAGCACUAUUAUGCAAAGCAGGGAUUUAGGAUAUUUCCAAUCUGUAAUUACAGCUGGGGCAGUUUUAACUCGACUCCCUACUGGAUUUCUUGUAUUUCUUUAAUAGCAUUCUGAGUAUCUUUGGGAUGAAUAUUGCUGCAUGCAGCAGAAGGCAAAAUCUGAGGUGUAGGACACAUUAUAGAUCACAACAUAUCCAUUAAACAGAAAAAUACCCCUUGCCCCCAUGGUCAUAAAUUUUGCAAACCAGUUUCCCUCCCUAUAAACUAUACAUUAUAAAUGACUAGAAAACAACUUUUUUUCAGCAGAACUUAUCUCCUGGAAGACAUAGAGGUCUCCCCCCCCCCUUUUAGGGUGGAAACAAGAUCUAGUGAACAGUUUCACAGUUCUUGCCAAUAUCCCACUCUCAUUUAAACCUAAGCAAUCCCAAAGCUAUGAGGUUGAUGUGUUUAAGUUUCAAGUUCUAAAGCUGAUUAAAUGCAUUUAGAUACAUACUGUCCACCUGAGGUUCUUGUAAAAGUUCAAAACAGAAUCCUUGCAUUCAAAGGAUAGUUUUCCUCGUCUGCAUCUCACUUGCUCAUUUUUGUAAACCUGUAGAUUAUAAAUAUGGGUUUGAUUUUUAUUGAGGCUGAAGAGUGUGGUUUAAACAUGAUGCUGCUUUGGUGCUUGCUCCAGUACUACCAAUAAAUAAUGCCACCAAGUGGCUACAUUCCGACAUCAUGUUUUUAAUUCUCCAUGCCUCCUUCCUUCAUACUUCCUGGCAUGGUCAUUCAAUGUGCUUGAAGUUAUGUUUGAACUGUAAAACAAUUAUUUGAGUGAGCCCUCAACAUGGGAUGGCAGACCAGGAUCAAACUGUGGUUUGCAAUCUUGGUUUGGAGGGCUUGCUCAAAUCAUAAUAAACACACAACAGUAAACUAUGGUUUGAUCAAACCAGUAAGUGAUAUGUUAAAUUGCACAAAUGCAGGGAGAAGCGCAGAAGAGAGAAGAGGAGGGAACUUGCCAGCACAGGGCUUCUUGACCCUUCACAUCAUGGUUUUAAGGAUUGGAAAUGUGAAAUCUGAAUGCAGAGAGUAAUAACGUAACAAUUUACAGGUGUGUGGGUUAGGCACCAAUCUUAGGCAGACAUUGUCCCAUUACCUCAUCUUAGGAAAGGUGUAUCAGUGUCUUCCCUCCAAAUUAUAUACUGAAUAUGUAACAAUGGAUUACAUUUGUGCAUAUCUAGGAAUCUUUGUACUUUGUUUCUGGUACUAUUUAACAGACAAUAAGUAUUAGGAUAAGAAAGAGGCACACAGCCUAGGAUAAAAGUCUCUUUUUGUUAAGCACUGCAAUGCAGUGAACAGCAGUUUACCAGGUGUUUCACUACUGAUAGUGCUUUUUUCCUGGGGUGUGUGUGCGCAGGGGGCGCAUACCCCUAAACAUUUUGUGAAUCUAAGUUUGGCCUCAUUGAGGGGCAGUAUUUCAAUAUGAGUAGGAAAAUGGGAGUACCCCUAAACAUUUUUUUAAAGAAAAAAAGCACUGACUACUGAUAUCACAAAACGACAUCUAUAUCAGCCUUUGAGAAUCUGUGUCUGUUUCCCUUUUUCUUCCCUUGGUACUGUAUUUCAAACCUGAGAUGUCAUCCAGAGUGUGGCAUAUUUGUGAUGGAGUGUCACUAUUACCAGCUCAUUCUUUAAUUAGAGGUCAGAUACGCUGGCAGAAUCUCUAGUGACUCUAACCCAAUAACCAUUGGCAAGUUUGAUCUAUGAGAGAGUCAAUCAAUAUUCUCUGGGCCACCACACAUUGGAAUCCGAUAUCUGGUUUGUUUGCCAGUCUCUUCUCAUUUGUCACUCAGAGAAGGCUACUUAACAAGUGUUUACAUUUAAUUCCUCUUUAGAACAGAAAUACAUUUAAUAUGUAAAAGUUGCUCAUUUAGCUGGUAUAGUGUGGAUUGAGAAGUCUCUGGUUCAAAUCUUGUAGAACAACUCAGCUUCAACCUAUCCUCCCUAGUCAGCAAUCUGCUACAAUCAUAAUAACUUACUUUGGUAGUAUAAUAUUACUGGCCUAUUCAUUGCUGCUGCUACUGAUUAAUUAUAAUCCUAAGGAUGAAUAUUGGACUACUUCACAUUUCUACUUAGCAUGCCAGAAGUCUAUAGGUUUAGGUAGGGGUGUGUGAUGCUUCUCAUCAUGCAUAAAAACAACUAUAAUCAGAGUAAUCAGUGUGGUUCCUGCAGAUAACAGUGUCCCCACCAGUACUUCCUAUUGCACCCACAAAAGUAGCUAUUCCCUCAAAAAUUCGUGUUCAUAGUCAGUUGCUGUUUACACGGGUUCAGCCUCUCCUACACUGAAGACACUAUCCCAACAGUAGCGAUUUUGGGUCAUUCCAUAUCCCAUGGCAGCCAUUUCCUACAGUAUUUGCCAUGGCUCCAUGGUAGCCAUUUUGUGAUAUGCUAUGCCCCAAUGGCAAAUGGCAGCUAUUUUAUGACUGGAGCCCACAGCACCCUCCAAAAUUCCAAAUGUGCCCACUCAUCCAAAAAUUUUGAACUAUAUGAAGUACCUAUUUUGUUUAGGAAGCAUGUUGCUGAAACAAAGCUGUGUGUGAUGGAUAGUACCAAUUGUACUUGAAAUACCUGGACUAUGAUGUAAGUAGACAUGCAGCCUCCUUAGCAUGAAAUACUGUAAUUUGGAUACUAUGAUUUAAAUUUGAACCUUAGCUCUAGAGGUCAAAUGCUUGGUACAAGUAGAGCACUUGACCCUGAGAUAAGUAUUUUAAUUUUAUGUCUACAGCCAUUAGUUACUGUACAUAAUAGCUGCUAUCUACUCUCUGACUAUUUAUUUCAGUAGGUGCUAUCUGACAACUGAGGCAUGAGCUAAUGAUAAGAGAAUUUACAUAGUCAAUACGAAUGCAUCAAAUAAAUUAGAGUCUGUGCAUUCAUUGUGGAGAUUUGAGUUAAAAGCCAGCAAACAAUUGUGUAUGCAGGAGUGAAUGGGUGCUUUUUUCUGAUUUGACUGGAUUUUAUUAUACUUUGGAGCCCUCAGCUGAUAUAUAAAUGUUCUGGACUGUGGGAGAAGAAAGUUUUAAAACACAUCUGAGAGUGAAACUAAGGCACCAGAGCACUUAAUUCUCCUCAUGGCCUGCUCAUUUAGGUCCUGCUUUGAAUAAUUGAGAGUAGCUUCAAACUCUGUGUUCUUUUUACUUUGUAGUCAUUAUCAAAUAAUAUUUGGUAAUUCAGAGAAUGUUAGUUAUGCUAAGGCAGCAGGCUUAUACUUACCUGGAAGUAACUCAUGGACAUACUGAGUGAGAAUGCAUUAGAAUACAUUGUAAGUCUCAUUGAACUCAACAAGGCAAGGUAGUUACAACUUACAUAUAUCCCACUGUUUCCUUGGGGUGGGUGGCUAUAAUAGGAUACACAGAGUGAUCCUGCAUAACCUGGAAAAAAACAAAAAACCAUUUAUUCCCAUGCAACUGUAUUACAGCAUGGAGAUUCUUGACCUUACAUCAAGCACCAAACAAUUACAAUUUCCAUUCAAAAUUGCCAUACUACCACUGAAACACCUGGUGUCAGAAUUCAGCAAUUUCCCUCCUUGGAGUUUGCUUCUUACGGUACUUUGAAAAAAUGAUAUACAAAUCAAAACUGACAUUGAAAAAUACUAUUUUUCAAUUAAUAUUUGCACAUUUUAUGAUUUGUGCACAUGAAACUUUUUGAGAAAACUAAGUGUUCUUUCUUUGGCUGCUAGGAUUUAAAAAGCUCCACUCCCCGUAGAGAGCUACAGUUUCCACAGUGGUUCAACUGUCAGUCCCUCUUCACAGGAAAAUACGGGAAUUGCACCUCUCUGUGGGGCAUAGGGGGUCUCCUAACAACUCUUUAGCAAGUUACAGAUCCCAAGAUUCUUUGGGGAAAACCAUGGCUGCAUAAAGUGGUAUAAUAGUGCCUUAAAUGUAUGGCGUGAAUGCAGGUUGGCCCCUGCCAAGGGUGCAGGGCACAGGGGGCACAAAACUGGCUCAGAGUGGCUAGGAACCAGUCUAUCCAUUCCCUGGGCCGCUUCUUCGUUGCUCAGUUGAGAAAUCCAGUUGCUGUCAUGGGCUGUCCUAGCAGCCCUGCAGGGGUUCUCCCCAGUGCUAUGAGAAGUGUGAGCAGAGUGCUCAGUAGGGCUCGAAGGGAAGAAGAUAGAGUGGGUGAGAGUUGCAGGAGGAGGGAAAAGGAAGGAAGGGAGUAAGGAGACAGAAGGAAAAGCAGCAAGUGGAGGGAGGCAGGCAGAUAGACUGACAGAGGAGGAGGGGGAGGAGCAGAGCAGACCUGACCUGACCCUGAUGGCUGUUGUCUAGGAAGUCACUGGUGGAGCAUGAAAGGUGAUGAAAAGCAAACUUUCUGGUCCAUGGUUUCUCCUGCUUUGGAGGUGCCAAUACCUCUCCUUGCCAAGGGAGCAAGGGAACCUAGGUAUGUUUGGCCUUAGAAAAACCCUGUAGACCUUUGCAAUAAAUAUGCAAAGGUCUGAUCUGCAGCCUGUACACUCAAAUGUCUAAACGUGGCUUAUGCAUUGCACUAUACUUAUGACUAAAUCCAUUCCUGAUAGAGAAAGCAUUAUUUCCAAAAGCUGUUUCAUACUUACGACAUAUACACAUCCACAUGCAUAAUCCACAUUCAAAAGUUUAGGAGGACUCUCUCAAAUAAUAAUAGACAUAAAACCCGUACAUGCCUGGAGUCAUUUUGGAGAGAAAGUGACAAUGUUUUUUCCUUUCAGAUUUCGCUCUUGCUCCCACAAGUAGGGAGUCAAAAAUAUAUAACUUAAGUAAGCUAAGACAUGGGAAGAGAGACUCCCUGCCAAGAUAGUCAGAAAAGAGACUUAAUGUUUAAAUAAGGUCUGGUUUACACAUUGCUUUGGAUUCAGACUAAGUUAGCAAUCAGGCUGAGCAUGACUGGAUUUCCAUGAUCUCUGUGCCAAUUACAGCUGAUGGCUUUGUUCCGAACUUCAGCCUUCUGACUUCUUUUGGAGGAAAUGGACUUUUAGUGUUUCCCACGGUAUGGCACAUGUCUCCCAUGGAACUGGAGAACUGUAGCUCUGCUAUUUCCUUUCAAGCAGAGAAUAUCAUUGGCACAGUGACAACAAACUGUAUUCUGCCAAAAGCAGCUGAAUUGCCUAUAUACCUCUGCUGGGUUGCUGGUCCCCUGGUGGAUGAGUAAAGCUCUUUAUUUUCCAUUGGGGGAUGUUCACAAAAAUAGAAUAGACACACACUCUUGAGGUACAGUACGGGAACUUACAAAGCAACUCCCACAAUUUACCAGUGGUUGCAGUUUAAUGCUAAAAAGUUAUUUUGUACUCUCCUUGUGAGAUGAGAUCAAAAUACUUGGGGGCAGCUAUGAUAACAGCAUGAAAACACACCACAUGUUUAGACCAAGGCAUACAACAGAGGCAUUUAACCAUUACCCAAUGCCAACAGAACACAUUCAUGUGAGUGAAUGGCACAAAACAGAAUGUGAUUUUUGCCACUUCUCUUUCCUCCUAUAGCCCCAUCACCACAACUCUCCAGAGCAGGGAUGAGGGAGAAAUUUCAGUUCACAUUUAAAAGUAAAUCAACUUGAUUCACACUUUCUGCAACAAUACACAAACUGAAACAUAGCCACCUUUUGAAAUUCACAUUUCUUUAAAUUGUAGUUCUUCAGCUAAGCAUUGUGUACACAAUGUUUAUAUUAAGGUAAAAUGUGUAUACACAUGCAUAUUUUGGAGAAAACAUACAAAAAUGCAUUCUGUUAGGGAAAAUUGCUUUGCAGAAACAUGUAUGAAUGCGAACUGAUGUGGAAAUUAACUACAAUUGGAAAAACGAAAAGCUGAAAUUCACCUAUUCCUGAUUAAGACCACCAAAAAGUCACAAAAUCAUGGUAGCCUUUUGAGUUCUCCAGAACUCUUCAUCAGCCAAGAUAUUACAGAAAACAGGGAGUGGGGGGAAAGCAGGAAAAUCUAACUGAAAGAAAUGAAACUGACAGAUUGACCCAUCCUUACUCCAAAGCAGUUAUUUUAGGGGACUACAAAAUGGGGUACAGGAAGAGGAAAGAAUUACAAAAAACACGCCCUCCUUGUUCCUCCAGCCAGAUUUCUUCCCUGGACUAGAAAGCCUGCUGUAGACAGAAUGGCUCCUUUGCUUCAUGGGAGGCAAAGUCUGGAUCCUAGCCAUGUGUCCAGUUAGCCAGAGGUUAGAAGAGAACAUUUUCCAAAUGGAAAACAGAUGAGAGGCCAGUGGUUUCUUCUCAACUUUUAUUUGCACUGUAGAACCAAUGGGAAUUUAUAUACCUGUGAUUAUAUGUGGCCAUUUAUUCUUUUCUGCACAUUUUUGUGGAAGCCUUCAUUCAGUGACCUCUAUUUAUAUGGAGAGGAAAUGCAAUUGACUUAAUGGAGUCACUCUAAAGAUAAAUUAGACCCCCAUGUAUCUCUGUUUGGGACUGAAGUCUACUUGGCAAGUACUAUGCACAUGGAAAAUUAAAUUCCAAAUGGGAGAUGUAUGACUCAUAUCAAUUUAAAACCCAGGCGAAAGUGGUAAUUGCAUGAAUGAUAACAUUCUGCAAUUACAAGUAAUUACUCAUAGGUAAUUAUAGAUGUAACAAAGUUUGAAUGUCUUUAGAAAACAGAACAGUCUAAAUUUUGCAUUGGCUUCCCUUGUUCAGACAAGAGAAGUGUGGAAAGAGUGCUGAGGGGAGGAUAGAUUGCAAAGCGGCUAAAUUCUUUGUAUCAGUUUUCACUGUGGAAGAUACUGAAGCAAUAACCACAUAUGAGCAAUAGUUUUACAUGAAAGCACUUGAGCAGCUAUGUCAAGUGGAGAGGAAUACUGAUGUUUUAGAACUAAUUGGCAAAAUACAAAUUAGCAAAUAAUUCAGGUUGGAUAGCAUUCACUUGAGAGUUCCUAAAGAACUCAGAUGUGAAAUUGCUGAUCUUUUAACAAAUAUAUGCAAUUUGGCAUUAAAAACCAGCAUCCUUACCAGAGGAACGGAGAGCAACCAAUCUAACAUCAAUUUUUAAAACAGGGAUCCAGAGGGGAUCCAGGAAAUUAGUGACUUCUUUGCCUACACUUUAUCAGCCUAACUUCUGUCCCAAAAGUUUUACUUUCUAAAUUGGUAGAAAGCCAAUUAUUAACAGCUCGCUUAUUAAACAUGUAAGCCAAAAUCCCAUACACAUAUCCAAAUGCUUUCAUGAUUGCUUGGGAAGCUUUCCCCUACUCCAGUUAAGGCAUACAUUCUGCCAUUUGGAAGUUACGUUGUUCCUCCUUUAAUUGUCACAGCAUCAAUCGCCACAGCAAGUAAUGCAGAAGAAGACACUCCCCACACCUACCCUGACAUUUUGGGCCAUAUUUCCUUGUGAUUUGAUGCAAUCCAUCACAGUGUGAUUCAUGACAGCCUUCCUGCAUUACUUGCCAACACAUUUCAUCAUUAUUCCUUUCAUCUUUCUGGCCUUUGGCAAAAGUUCUGACAAGGUCAAGGGGAAAGGCUUGUCAAUUUCAUGGAUGACAACUUCCUGCUCUGAAAAGGAAGAGAAGCCUUGUGUAUUUCACCCAAUCAGAGUUGAUUGAUUCUGCCUUUCUGCCUGCUUCUCUCUUGACUCUGAAGUUCAGUGAAACUGCAGUGAUGGCUAGCAAAUUUUGGAGUUUUGGGAGGGGGAGCACUGUAGAAAUAGCAUUUGUGUUUUCUGUAUUAUUUCUGCAUCAAGCAAGCACAGCUUUAGCACACCUGUGUAUUUUCUUUGUACCUGUACAUACUUUUGGACACAUUGUUCUUCCCCACAGCCAGUUUGUGAGAGCCUUCUGGCAAUACAAUCUUGGAAUGUCAGAGGGGUAGCACCAUCUUUGAGGCCAGAGGGGCUGUGACCCACCAGAGUGCCUUCUUAACCAUGUCAUAGUGGCUUUGGAACAGCCCUCCAGGUUAGGCUGGCACAUCCAUCGUUUGGCACCAGCUGAAGAUCUACCUUUUCUGCCAGACAUUUGACAUUGUAGGGCCAUCCCAUAUAUGAGCUACAUUGGCAGCUUUAGCUGUUGAUUGUGUUUGUCUUGUCUUAUUGGGUUUUAAAUUGUUGAUACCCAUACUGAGAUUUUUUUAUGAUGAAAGGUCAGUUAGAAAUUUUAAGAAUAAAUAAAAUAAAAUCCUGUACCACCUUCAGGGAUCAUCACUACCAAAAUUACUAGCUUUUUCAAAAAAUAAAAAUAAAUGUUCUUUGUAAGGUGAAACUGGAAUUAAUAAACUUCUUAGAUCAAAAAUUUCCUUCCUUCCUUCCUUCUUUUAAGUGUGACCACGUAAUUUGAUUUUAAUUAUAGUGUUAAUUUUGUAACUAUGCUCUACUUUAAGAAUCGUUUUGACUGACAGGCAGACUAUAAAUUACUAAUAAAAUAAAAUAGCUGCGUUAGCAUUGUUUUGGACUUUUCAGGCAGGGAAGUGCAUUAAUGUAUGCACAGUGCAUUUCUCUCACUACUUAAUAAGGAAGCCAGGUAUUCCCUAGCCCUCUGGGGAUCAUAUCUACUGAAUCAGUAGUUCAAAAUAUCAUCUGGGAUUUUACUUGUAAAGAAAUGCAGUUCUCUAAAUGUCUUUCUUCAAUUAUCCCAUAUAUAACUUAAAAAUAAUAAACAGGUAAAUUCAGAAGUCCUCCUGGGCUCACAGUAAGUGCUGAGUGAAAGAACAUCCCAAAUGAUUUUUUCGGUGGCAAAAUGUUUUUGGAGUGGUGUAAAUUUCAGGUGCAUGAGAAGAAAUUCACAUCAGAACUACAUCAGAAGAAAUUUGUUUAGGACUGCCCAGCUAGCCACUCCUUACAGUUGAGACAAUUAAGAAUAGUAAAAAGAAGCAAAUUAUUCUACUAAUUCAGAGCAGCAGAGCCACAAUCAGUUAAACUAAUAAUAUUGUGUGUAAUUGUAAGUUCAUUGAGCUUACAAGCCAACAAACCCAUUCCUCUAGGACUGAAUACAGUCAGCAAAGCAUAGUGGUAUGAAAGCAUGCGUUUCCUAAAAGUGAUCUUCAGGUUUUACAAAGUGCUCUUUGGGCUUUUCUGCUUCCUGCCAAUUCUCUGUUUCCUGUGCUCACACUGUAAAUAAUAAAGCUGCAGUUGAAGGGAUAGAGACCAUUCUAUUUAAAGAGGCACCAGGGGAAUCUCUCACUGGCAUCACUCAUGCAGUCAUAAAGACCCUGCUCAUUGCUCUUGAUCCCUUGUGGAGACAUCUAUCCAUAUAAUUCCAAUGCAAAUACAGAUGAAAGCAUGUCCAGUACGUUUUAUGUGCUGACUAAAGCUUUAAAAAAACUUUAAAGUUCAUCCAGCUCACUGGUUUUUCCUAAUGCACAGUUUACAGAUAUUUAGCUAUCAUUGACUGCGACUCAUUGUAGCUAUUCUGGGUAGUUUGCUUAUUUAUAAGCUUUGUAACCUGGUCUUCAUUAAAAAUAACGUCAGGAUGGGGUAACAUUAAAAAAAAGCCAUAAGUUAUAGUCAGCAAAUGAAACUUUUAAGGGUGGAAUUCAACAUUGUGCUAUGAAUUGGGCAUUUCAGCUUGACAGUUAGAACAACCCCCCUUCUCCUCUCCUCAUGUGCUGUUUUUUUUUGGGGGGGGGUUCCCGAACCUCCCUGAGCCAAUUUCAGGGUAUGCAGGGAGAGGAGAUGAAAAGAAAGCUCCAUUUUUCAAAUCAUUGCACAGGUUGUUAGGUACAGGUUGUUAGGUACAGGUUAGGACUUGCGCCCUAAGAGUUGGUGUAUUUGCAGCUAGUUCUUGCAAUGCAGCCAAUCUCUUCUUGCGAGAAGUUGGCAGAUGUAUUGCCUAAGCCUAGCCAAACCAUUCAUUUUGCUAUACUAUUGACACAACUCAAUGUGACAUGCACAGGAUGUGUUGGGCAAAGUAAGCAGGAAAAAACAUGCACAUAACCACGUACUUAUCAUGAUGAAUUCCAACAAUCGAUAAUGUUGGAUUUCUUAGCAUUAAGAAAGUGAUUAAUAGCAAUGGAUAAGAGCUUUGCUGUUGCCAAUGUCUUAGAAUAUUUGUUACUAAUAAACUCAGCACGGUCAUUUCCUAAAUCCUGGGUCAUUUUUCUGUGUUCAUGAGGUGUUCAGUACUCCUCUGUUUUUUAAUUUUAUUUUUGCAGUUGACACCAAGCUUGGCUCAAGAGUUAAUCCCACCCUGAGACAGCCAGAUGGGGUCAGGGAGGCUCCUCUGCUUUCAUUGUGACAGAAAGUAACAAGCACAUAAAACAAGGUUACUUAUACCUGGCACAAGUAAACAAUAGCAAUAUGCAUGUGGAAAGAAAAUCAAAUUGAAUCCUGCUGCUCUAGGUGUCUUCACCAAAGCAGAGUGGGUAGGCGAGAUAUAGGUAAAGGUAAAGGUACCCCUGCCCGUACGGGCCAGUCUUGACAGACUCUAGGGUUGUGCGCUCAUCUCACUCUAGAGGCCGGGAGCCAGCGCUGUCCACAGACACUUCCGGGUCACGUGGCCAGCGUGACAAGCUGCAUCUGGCGAGCCAGCGCAGCACACGGAAACGCCGUUUACCUUCCUGCUAGAAAGCGGUCCCUAUUUAUCUACUUGCACCCGGGGGUGCUUUCAAACUGCUAGGUUGGCAGGCGCUGGGACCGAACGACGGGAGCGCACCCUGUUGCGGGGAUUCGAACCGCCGACCAUGCGAUCGGCAAGUCCUAGGCGCUGAGGUUUUACCCACAGCGCCACCCGCAUCCCACUAGGCGAGAUAUAUCUGGCCUUAAAUAAAUUCAGAGUCACAAGCCCUGGUACUGACUGGGCGACUUGUUUUGCAGGGCUGGGAGCCACCAGUAUACAGAAAACCCACCACUUGCCUCAGUCACCUCGGAUGGGUGACUCCACUCUGGUUCCAAGGAUCACACUAGUCAGUACUCUUUGCCUCCACACUUAACUGUAUGAGAAGAAAGCCACUAGGGCAGCCCAGAGCAGAGGUAGCCAAUGUGAUGCUCUCCAGAUGUUGUUUGACUACAACUCCCCUGACCCCUGACUAUUGAUCAUGCUGACUGGGGCUGAUGGAAAUCACAUCUCAAAACAUCUGGAGGGCACCACCUAUUGCAGCCACUGGUCCAGAGCAUUGGGGCCAAUUAGGACAUCAAAGUGCUAAAGUUCAUGCAUUUCCAUGCUGCUCUCAAGAAGAGCACAAAAGAGUUGUGCCCUUCUCAUUAUUUCUUUCACAAUAUUUAUAUAGCACGUGGUUGUAAUAAACCCUCAAUGCGGUUUACAAAAAGAGAGAGCCCUUCUUUAGGUGAGCCUCCCUUUACCCCUCCAAUACAUUAGGAUACCCUUCAUUGUUCUUUCGUGCCUUUCCCCUCCCAUUCAUCCUGCACAGAAACUCCAGUUUUUCCUGCUUAGGAUACAGUGCCACUUCAACCAUCUGUCAGUGCAGGGUAGGCUAAUAACAACAACAACAACAACAACAACAACAACAACAAUAAGAUCUCCCCACCUUUUCAACCAAUUGGGGAGCAUAGCAAAACCUUUUUUUUAAAAAAUGGCCUAUAUGUGUCAGCUGCCUCAUUCAACCCUAUUAGAAGGCCAGAUGUUAUGGCACCAAAGCAGAAGCCCUGGAAGAAGAGUAGCUCUUUAAAAUAGCACCCACACCAGCAUCCCAUUGGCGGGGGCAGAUUCCUCCAGCAGAUACCCUAGCCUCUAUCCAAAGGAUGAGGGAAAAGCUGCUUCUCUCUCUUUCAUCCUUCUCCUCACAGGGUAAGCUACGGAGUGCAGCACUUGCGUACAUUUUGUUUCUCUGACAUGGAAAAACACUAAUAUUUACUGGACAGAAUCUUUCCGCCUUUAGUUUGGAUACUGGCCACGUUGCAGGCACUGUUUCUACUUGUGCUAGAUUUAUUCUCAAGAAAACAGCUUCCAAAUAUUAAUUGGCAGGAUCUUGUACUGUAGAGCAGUCUAGAUUUGCUUCUGACAUGUUGUGCAUGAUCUCUUUCAAUAAAUAAACACCAGAAAGAGCUUAUGCAAUUGACACAAAAUCUUGUGGCAGUCUCCCAUUUAGAACUUCACUGUAGAUUAUUUUUGCACUGUAAUUAUGAUCCGCUUUCUUCACAAUCCAGGCAUAUAUUUCAUAACCCUUUUCCCACCUCAACUGUCAGAAAGGUUUUUCAUUUUUUUGAAAUAAAAAAGCCCAUUAUCUGCCUCCAUUCCUCAAACUCUUUUCCUGCAAAAGUUAGUACAGGCACUGGGAUCUGCUCUAUACCUUCCACUGUGAAGACAGAUGCAAAUAAUUCAUUCAGCUUCUCUGCAAUCUCCUUGUCCCUAUUUAGCACACUUUUUACUCCUUUGUAAUCCAAGGGUCGUACACCCUCACUAGAAUGUGUCCUGCUACAAAUGUAUUUAAAUAACUUUCUGUUGUUGGCAGUGCUAUUUUUAUAGAAAAAGAGGUGCUGGAACUCACCAUGAACGUCUCCCUUGUUCUGUUAGAAUGGCAUUGGUAUCCACCUGAGAGGUGCCGGAACUGAGUUCCACCGAGUUCCAGCUGAAAAAGAAGCACUGGUUGUUGGUCUUAAUGUUUUUAGCAUUGCUUACUGUCUGCUUGCACUUUUGUGUGUUCUCUCCAUUUGCAUGAAGGAAGCAUUCUUGCCUCUAAUACCAUGUUUUACUCUGCUUGUUAAGCACAUCAGCAUCCUUUCAACUCUUGUGGUACCUUUCCUGAUCUGUGCUAUACACUCCAAUCAAACUUCUAAUAUUGUGAUUUUAAACAACUCCCUGGCAGUUUUGACCAUUUUGACUUUGCCUUUCAACUUCCUGUUUGCCAUUCCUGUCAUUUUAAAGUCAAAUGUGACCAUGCUGGAUUUUCUUGGCUAUUGGUUGUUUACAUGUAUGUUUAGUUCAAUAGUGCUAUGGUCACUGCUCCCAGUUGGCUUAACAACACUUAUAUCUCACAGUAGGUGCUUGAUUCAGGGUCGCUUCCCCUCUGCUUUGUCCUAUGAUCAACUGUUCCAAGGCGCAGCCAUUUAGGGUAUCUAGAAAUUUUACAUCUUUGUCAUGACUGGAACACAUAUGUAGCCAGUCUAUGUGAGGAUAGUUGAAGUCACCCAUGACUACAAACAGCGCUUUUUUUUCUAAAAAAAUGUUUAGGGGUACUCUUAUUUUCCUACUCAUAUUGAAAUACUGCCCCUCAAUGAGGCCAAACUUAGAUUCACAAAAUGUUUAGGGGUAUGCAUACCCCUGAGUCCCCCCAGAAAAAAAGCACUGACUACAACAUUUCCUCUUUUGGAUGCUACUUUUGGACCUUGAUUUCAUUCCUCAGCUCAAGAUCUCCCUGAGCAUUUUGAUCAAAGGGAUGAGAACACAUCCCCAGAACUAAACUAUUACUGGGGCCCGGUAUCACCACCCACAACAUAUCUACCCCUUGGGGAUUUCUAGUUGACUGCCCAAUGCCCUCUUUGAUGUACAGAGUGACACCACCUACAGUACAGCUUCCCUAUAAUGAAUAUACAGAGAUACCUAGCUGUUUCCCACUUGUUCUCUGUAUUCCACCAGACAUUCAGGUCCCAAGUUAGAGGUUUCCUACCCUUGCUUUCAGUGGACAGUCUAUAUCUCCAUCUCCCUCAGACACCUUGUUCUUACUAAUUCACCCACUUUAUGGUGAAGAGGCAAUCUUCUUAGCUGUUUUGCAAUGGUAUAAAGAUGUUUCCUUGGUCCUUUCUUGCCCCUUAACAAAAUAUGUCAGCAAUAUCUAUAGGUGUUUGUGCACAACUUUGGCACUACUGGUUUAAUGAAAUGCAUGAAUUCAAUAAUCCCCAAACCGCCCAGUAAUUGCAAGAAGAGAGAGUACAUGUGGAUAAUGAUUGUAGAAAGUAUUGAAUGGGGAGUUGGAAGGGUAAAUUAUGAAGGGCUCAAUAGGAUGCAGGUACAUCCAUACUUUAGAUCAAGAGAGCUCUUAAGACCCAUGUCUUACAAUCCUUCAGCACCACAUUUUAAGUGUUAGGUGGCAAAUUUUAAAAAAUAAUUAUUAUUAUUAUUAUUUAUACCCCGCCCAUCUGACUGGGCUUCCCCAGCCACUCCAGGUGGCUUCCAACAAAAUAUUAAAAUAACGUAAUGCAUCAAACAUUAAAAGCUCCCCUAAACAGAGAUUUCCUUGUUGAUGCACAAAAUUGACAAAGAAGUUGUAAGUUGACUACCCAGAUAUAUGAGCUACUUCUUGUGCUAGUUUUCCAAGUGCAUGUUCAGAAAUACAUGGGGUACAUGUAUUUUGUAAGUUGAGAAAUGUUUGGUUUAACUUUGCCCUGGAAACAAGGUGAUCAAAUGCAUACCAUUAAGUUAAAAUUACAGUUUCUGAUCUUCACAAUGGAUUUGUAGUAUGCAAAACUGGUAUUAAAAAGUAAUGUGUGUAUUGGCCUUAAGGCAGGGGCCAACAUCAGUAUCAAGGCAGUAUGUGUAUCUAGCAGAAAUUACGGCUUUUAAAAACAAAACAACAACCACAACUCUGCACCAAAGCCUACUUCUGACCAUUAUUCUGAAAAGUAGCCUGCCAUGUGAUUCUGAAGGAGGGUGUGCUGUGCCUUUCUCUGGAUCAUGGACAGAGGUUUUAAAACCUGUGGCUUUCAAUCUGGUAGAAAGACACAUCUCAAAGGUUAAAUCCAUAUGACUUAUCUUUGAAGUUAAGUGAUAACUUUCUAUACUGGACUUACACUGGUACCUCGGGUUAAGUACUUAAUUCAUUCCGGAGGUCAGUUCUUUAUCUGAAACUGUUCUUAACCUGAAGCACCACUUUAGCUAAUGGGACCUCCUGCUGCCGCUGCGCUGCCGCUGCACGAUUUCUGUUCUCAUCCUGAAGCAAAGUUCUUAACCAUUGAGCCAUUUGACUCAAGCAUUCACCCACAUUGUGAAGAGAAGUGUACCACUAUCCUAUUUCUCUGAUUGAGUGCAGAUUUGUAGUAUGAUUCUCUUCUCUCCAUGUGGUUGCAUCCUUGAGAUGAAUGGUGCCACAUGUGGCUUACCGGUACAUUGCCCAUAUCACCCCCAGAGAAAGCUAAUUUGGCUUCUGCUUUACUCAGCCAGGGCCUACUAUAGUCUACAUUUAUUCCCCUGCAGAACACACAGUGUUUACAAGUUUUAACUGAUGGAAUGUAUUAAAAUUAAAGUUGUUUUCCCUUCUGUUUUUGAUAGAUGGAAAACCUGUUUGGCCUAAUAAAUUGUACGUCUUGUGAUUAUACAACACCCCAAGCUCUCAAUAUGGGACUUGUGGUGCAUUUGAAUAAUAAAUGAAUCCAUAUGCUAUUUCCCUUGACAUUCUUGUCUUGCUUUUUUUCUGUUGCAGGUAGCUACAUGCUAAAUUGAUCCUCCUUACUUCCUUUUCUUGCAAAUUCUCUCAUUAAAUUAAACAGUCUGAAAGGAGCACCCAUUAAACAUUCAUUCCUUAUUAACUAAGUGGUCUAAAAUGGAGGCCUCUGAAUGCUUCCAUAAUUAAUUGUGUAAAGCUGGAAACCAAGUUAACAGGGAGCAAAACAGUAUUAUUUGGAAACAUUCUACAAUUAACUGGAAAGCUAUUUACUGAGGACUGCAGAAGCGGAAAUAUUUUUCCUAUUCUGCAAAGGCCAUUAAAAGAAAGCCCCAGAGGUGGAAAAAGUAUUCCAGGUCCCCCCUUGCCCCUUAAAAAAGCAAACAAAGCCUAAACUUUGGAUGUGGCCAUUUUGGUUAGCUCAUUUUUGGAAGCAAUAUCGUAAGGGGACUUUAAAUAAAGUAUCUAUUGUAGGCUUGGCUUAGGCGACUGAAGAUGGGGUUAAAUAUCUAUUAUAUUUAAUUAAUAUAAUAAUAAUUAUAAUAUAAUUAUUAAUAUAAUAUAAUAUAAUAUAAUAUAAUAUGUUGCAAUUUCUUCUGCACUCAUUCUUCACCUCAUGGUUUUAAUUCAGGAAUUUUGCAGUGGUAUAACACCGCCCUGCCUCCAGUUUGGACUUAAUGACUGAUUUCACAGUAUGGGAAAACCAUCAGGGUUCACAUCCACACAACAAUGGAGCAAUACAUGAAAUGUGUGCUUAAAAAUAAAUAAAUCAUUUGUACAAUUUCUUACACUUGGCUGUAAAAAUUCCUAAACUUAAAUUAAGGAAAUUAAGGAAAAUCUGUAGUAGAUACAUAAAUUGAAUAUCGUAUAUUGUUGGGGUGGGUGACAUAGCUGUCAACUUUUCCCUUUUCUUGCGAGGAAUCCUGUUUGGGAUAAGGGAAUUUCCCUUAAAAAAUGGGAAACGUUGACAGCUAUGGUGGGUGAAGGCAUUAAGGAAAAAAACAAUUCAUGGCAUUGAGAGAAAGAAAAAAGCACCCUGGAGGCUACAAUCCUAUACACCAGAGCUUUCCAAACUGUGUGUCAUGACAUGUUGGUGUGUUGGCUGCAGUGGGGUUGGAAAGGGUUAGUUUAACCUCCGGUUUUGUAGUAAAACUGAAUUACUGUGUCAUGAAAUUAUGCAAAACUGAAUUACUGUGUUGCAAAUUAUGCAUGUCCAAAAACUGUGUCACUAACUUGAAAAGUUUGGAAAGCUCUGCUAUGUACAUUACAGUCAUAGCUCUGAAGCAAAGUCUUAUUGAACUCAGUGGGCCUUAUGUCUGAGUUACAGAACUUACAGAAUUGCAAUGUAACAAUUCAGAAUUAUUCAGCAGCAGCCAGAGCACUGUUCUGGGCCACCACCAUCACCCUCCACCAACGGGGAAAUUACAUCCCCACACUUUUCUAUUGACACUACCAUAAAUAACAGGGGCCUUGAGAGAUAUGUAUGCCGUAACUGAUAGGGAGCAGCACGAUUGAAGUGUGACAGGAACACAGCUUGGAUGGAAGGAUUUUCUCUAAAGUCAUUAUACUUACAGAGUAAUGUAUCUAAAAUUUGCCAUCCUAUGAGAAUGCAGGAUGGUCACUGUUUAUAGAAGCUGGGCUCUCUUCUCUGGGCACUGCAGAUAGUUUUUCCUCAUGCAGCAAGUUCUGUAAUGCUGUGUGUCAAAUACGCUUAGCAAAGUGCAGCCCAUCUGCUGAGCACAUGGCUAGAAAUGAGCCAGCUUGCUCUGAAUGGAACCACCAGCAUAUAGACAUGUCUGUAAAAACUCUGACCUCCAAGACACAGACUAUAUGCCAAUAUUGGCAUGAGAAAUAGCCAUUUUAUAAUUGAUUGAUUAAUGUGAAAAACAUUUACCGGUAGCUUAAUUUUGAGCUAAAAAAGCUCCCAGACACAGCUACAGUCUACUCAGGGAGAUUUCUCAACUUCUGAGGUUGUUUGAGAGGAAUUUGUUUGAUUUAGGUAUUUUCUUUAAUGUGCAUUGACUUGAAGGGUAGGAGCCAAGAAGGCUGGGCUGACAUCCAUUUAUUUUGACCAAUUUUGAUGAAAUUUUGGGAAACAGAAAAUAUUAUUAACAUUUUUUUAAAAAAUGCUACUUUUAGGAGCAGAAGAAGUGGUCUUGUAUCAAGUCAGAUCAUUGGUCCACCAAGUUCAGUAUUGUCUAUAUCAACUGGCAGUGACUUUCCCCGGUUUCAGGCAGGGAAUAUUCCCAGCAGUAACUGGAAAAAGCGACAAGUGAGGUGCUGCUGGGUUCUGUCCAGGACCCAUUGUUGUUCAACGACUUUAUAAAUGAUGUGGAUGAAGGAAUUGAGGGGAUGUUCAUAAAAAUUGCAGAUGACAAUAACUGGAAAGAGUAGCUAUUGCAGAACCGGAAUUCAAGAUGGCCUUAACAGAUUGGAGAACUGGGCCAGAACAAAAUGAAUUUCAGCAGGGACAAAUGUCAGGUUCUACACUUAGCUGCUCAAAUAUAUGAUGGGGGACACUGUUUGAUGUGCGAUGGCUCUAUUCAGUGAUGAAGCCAUCAAGCAAUAGAACAUGCAUCUGUGAACCAACCCUGUGUGCCACCUGAUCAUUAUCACACUAUUCAAUAAAAUAAAAAAGAAGUUGCCAAAUGAACUGAAUGCAUUUUUCAGUUUUAGUUAGACAUUUCCAAUGCAUUAUUUUUUUCUGUGGGUAAGCCUAAUUUAACUCAAUAGGACUCUCAUGUAAGCACACUGUCAAAGUAGUAUUCACAACCUCAAGGCAAACUUGUAUGCAUUUCAACUCUAAUUUGGAAAAAUGACGUUGGGCCAAGGUGGGGUUAGGUAGGUAUGAAGUCCACAGUAUAUGGAUUUGGAAGACAUAUAUAUUCAGCGUUAAUAAUGUUCAAAGGAAAUACAUGCAAAGUAGAUUUCAUGCCUCUUUCAGCUUGGCGCAUUUAGGCUCAGAGCAUAAAUUGACUGCUGGUGGUGAAAGCAUGUCGUUCUGGAUUUUUCUUCUGUGGUUAAGUACUUUUUUAUUGACAUUAGCUGCUUUUCAGCUGAUUCUGCAAACUGGGUAUAUAGUUCUGCAAAAGUCUCAAAUUGCAUACAUAUAUGUAGUUCUGGAAGCUGUUACUGAUAGUGGCAGGAUGCUGCUGAGGCGUCCAAAUACUGGUUUAAAAUGGCCAGAACUUUACUGAGAACUUUACCAUGGUAUUGUACCUGUUUGCUGUUCCAGGGUCAGGAGACAAAGGGGGAGUCAUGUUCUGCUCAUGAAAGUCCUUUAUACACAGUUGGUUAUCAUUCUUUACGUAGCCAGCAGAAUGCUCUGAAUUAAAAGUAAUACUUGGUCAAUUUGCUUUUUGAUUUUGAAGUGGCACAAACUGCAGGUGCUUUUCAGGUUCACUGUGGAACCAAGAUAUGCUAGGAGUAAAAAAAAAGUCUGUUGAAUUCUGUAAUGUCUCAUUACAGCCAGGUUAGGAUGACCAGCUUGACUGUAUGAAAUGAAACUUUGUUUUUCAUUGAAAGUUAAGUUGACAACGCUCAUAUGGCUACCUGAACAGUUAAACAGCCCCAACUAUCUUGUGUUAAAAUGCCAAAGAACUGUGUUGAUAAUUACUAUUCACAAGAAUUGUGGUUUAGCUGACAUUUAUUGUUUCAGUGAAUAACCAUAUUUUGACAGACAAUGGAUUUUUUCUUCCCACGAACUUCCAUAGAUUCUUCGUUAAGGUUGCUGAAUUAACAUAUUCUUGUUGUUUUGGUUUUAUUUUGCUUUAGGAAUGCUAAUAAUUACAUUCCACUUGCAUUUAAUUGGGCAUUUGGGUUUUAAAGCUAGAGAUGGUUUCAAUUUGGGGUGGGGAAGUGUUUGCUGUGGCUUUGACUUAAGGUUUUUCAUUCUGCUUUUUGAAUACUAGUAGGAGGGCAAGGAAGACAGCUUGAACACUUAGAAAAUGAGCUUCUGUGGUGUAAUUUAUCUUGGUCACUGAAACAGAGAGCUUUUGCAAACCUACCUAAGCAGUCUUCAGUUGUUUUGAGUGGUAUUUUAACCACCUAGUUUGCUGAAUCAUGUUUGUUGAAAUGCUCACGUUAGUAAGUCUGGUUUGUAGCCAGGAUGAAGAAGAGCUAUAACAAUAUGGCACUGGUAAGCCAGCCUUGAUGUUGACUGACAACUUUGCACCAUCAAACACCAAUAUGUUAAGGGAGCUGGUGUACAUUUGUGUGUUGCUGGCAAACCUACAAAUCUGAAGCAACAGCCAGUGUUAAUGUAAGUGAAAACUCUGCAGCCAUUGGGGUAAAUAAACCCACAAGUUUGGUUGAAUCACACUUUCCUUGGGUGUCAAGUGUUUGCAUAGGUUUAUAUUGCUAGAGUACUAGCAAGAUGAGAUGCUUGCAGGAGGCACAUGAUUACAAAUCCACCCAUGUUAGCAAAUAAAAUAGCAAUACAGUAAUGCUUACAUUUGUGUGGUGCUUUUGUAGUGUUCUUUGCACUUAUACAGGGAGUAACUGGAAAAAAAUAUGUCCUUGGAGGACUUUUAGUUUAGAAAAAGCUGCAUAGUGGGGUGGUGGUGGUAGAUGUGCAUAAAUUUAUGCAUGCUGGGAACUUGGUAUAAUCUAUUAAAUAUGAAUUAUUAUUAUAUGAAUUAUUAUAUUAUAUGAAUUAUUAUAUGAAUUAUUCAGAACAGAAGAAAGGAAGUACCUUUCCACAGAGAUAAUGCCCAGGAGCAGCCAAUAUGGUAGGGCAGUACCAUGGCACCACCUUCCCAGCAGUGGCAUUGCGCCACUUAUCAACACUGUGCAGGGACAGAGAAGAAUGGUGGUGUGGUCAGGAAUGGAUGGGGGACACUGGUAGAGGCAAUCCAGUGCUCUUGCCUGUGUGUCCACAUUACUACCACAACCUCAGCAUCACAUAGCCCUUAUUCUGCACCAUCACGAUAAGCAGUGGUGGCACUGCUGUUAUGACACCCUUGGUGUGUGUCACUGUUCCACUACAUUGUCUAUUCCUGGUGAUGCCACUAUUAGGCUGCAUUCCUAACUCAGUUUACCUGGGAGCAAGCCCCAUUGAAUUCAAUAGGAUGUAUGAUUAGGCUUGCACAAAUUCAUGGAGGAUAAGACCACCAGUGGCAAUGAAUUAUGAUUACAAUAAGUUACAUCCAGACUCAGAGACAGCAUUUUGUAGGGGGGGAGGGGCAGGGGGGCAGAAAACAGGAGAAAAUGAUUUCACUCUUCCUUUUCUUGUGGGGCACCUGAAGGCAUCUGGCUGUAGGAAACAUGGUACAGUGGUACCUCGGGUUACAUACGCUUCAGGUUACAGACGCUUCAGGUUACAGACUCCGCUAACCCAGAAAUAGUACCUCGGGUUAAGAAAUUUGCUUCAGGAUGAGAACAGAAAUUGUGCUUUGGUGGCAUGGCGGCAGCGGGAGGCCCCAUUAGCUAAAGUGGUGCUUCAGGUUAAGAACAGUUUCAGGUUAAGAAUGGACCUCCGGAACAAAUUAAGUACUUAACCCGAGGUACCACUGUACUGGAUCCAGGAGGGCUCUUCUAAUUCAUACAUUGGUGUGAUAAACCUUAUUGACUUGCAAGGUAGUAAUUCCAUAUUUCAUCCAAUAUUACAGAUGAAGAGUUAAUUAUGUCAGUGUUAUUUCCUGUGUCAUGUGAGGUUCCUCCAAGUUCCUACAUAGAUCUUUUAAAACUGAUAUCCAAUUCCAUUGCAAUGCUUUUGGCAGUCCAAGUUAAAGAGAAAAUAUUAAUAUUCUCAUAUUCAAGUGUGGUGCAGUUCAUCUUUCUAUUUUUGCAACAUUUUAGACCCUGUUGACCAUUAUUACUACCUUUUUUUUUGCUAGUUUUCCAAGCACAUUUCUCUUUUUCAUAUCUUCUCAUUCAUCUCUUUCCUACUGAACUGACAAUGAGCUCAGUUGAUUGUCUACAGUCGCUGGCUGCCAGUUCAUAGCAUCUUAACUUGAAUGUCCUGAAAUGUAAAUCCACUUUCUUCCAACAGACCCAAGGGAAUUACAAGCCACUUCCUGAAUUGUACCUUUCUGUUGUGUCUCAGUGCUCUUCAGCUUGCCUUGUUAUAUAUGCCUAUAAUGUCUAAUCCAAUUAAAAUUAUAUUUCUGCCAAAAGAAAACUUCAGUUAGCACUGGGGGUUGCUGCAGGUGACAAAUCCUGCAGGUUUCUUUUUCACAUUCUGUCUACUGUUUUGUCUGUCAACAAGCUGCAGUCUUUUUUUCUGGAGUCACCGAGAUACACAUCCAGUACAAUGUAUAUUGUAUUCAGAAGUUAGUGACACUGAGUUUUCUGGGACUGUAGAUUUGGCUUUCCCUAUUUUCCAGUCUUAAAUUCAGAACUCUUUAUUUCUUCAGCAUUUUUUUAAAGCUCCUCAUGAAAAUUCAUCCGCAUCUUAGUGCAAAUUUCUCCCAGUAAACACAGUUUUUAAUGCAGUUUUAACUAAUAGAAGCAUUUUUGCAGUUUCCCCCUAAUAUUUUGCACUUUUGUGUUCCCCUCCCACAUGAAUAUAUUCGUUUUAAUACAUAUUUCCCCCUAACAUGUGAAUUUUUGCACGCUUUGGCUGAUUAGAGAACUGUAGCACAAAAUGUGAAGAUGUGUGAAUUUCAAAGGAUAGCUAUGUUUUGGUUUGUGUAUUGGUUUGGAAAGUGUGAAUUAGGUAAAUUUCCAUUAAAAUGCAAACAAAAUCAAAUUUCUGCCCCAUCCUUAACUGGAACUCACUCCCAAAUCAGUUGUUUAUUGAUUGAUGACAUCAACAGCAAUCCAAGGGCAUGUUUGUAAUGUUUUGCCAUAUGGUCAUCUUUCUGUUUUUCUCUGUAGCGAGACAAGAUGCAUUUGUGUAGAAGGCUGCAUCUUUCCAAUCUUACAUGACAAGAUAGACCAGACAAAAUUCCCCUUUCUAUACAAGUAUGAAAAGUAAACUAGUUCUGUCUUCCUUUGUUUUGGGUCUGUGUGCCUACCCCACUCCUUCAAACAAAAUCGAAAGAAAUGUAAAUGCCAUUGAAUCUACUGCUUUGACUCACCUAAAUUUGGGACACUGCCUAUUUUUGAGUCCCCAAUCCACCAAUUGAAAACCAGUGAAGAAAACAGGUCCAUGGAAGGACAAACAAUUAUAUUUACUUGUCCAGUAGUGAGAUUUUAUAAUACUUCCCCCACCUGCCACCCAAGCUUUUCCCAUCAGAUUGACUUUCAUUUCCCAGCAACAUAAACGGAAAAUUUGGAACAUAAGGUUGAGGUGGUGUGUUUGUGUCUGGAUCCCAAAUAUACCGCUUAUGUUUUCUAUAUAUAUUGCAAGGGAAUACUCUCUUCCCAUGCUAACUAUAAAUAUCUGUCAUUUCCCCCCUCCCUGUUUGUACGACACCGAACAUAUAUCAGAAGGUGUUGACCUGAAAUAAAAAAUACAACCCAUCAGCAAAUAUUGAAAAAAUUGUAUUGUAAAGUCAAAGUGGUUGUGGAAAACUCCCAGAUAAACUGUUUUAUUACAGUGGCAGACCAAGGGAACAUUUCUCCAGAACUGACUGUAAAUAUCUGUUUCACUAAAAGCAGAAGAGAAAGAAAGAAACCUGGUUGUAUGACCAGCAUCCAUUAGCAGGUUUCACAUUGGUUUUUAUUUUUAGGACCACUGGUGAAGACCAUUUGAAUUAGAAUUAGCUAGAGUUGAGCAAUAUUUCCAGCUUCAGGACAUUUACUCCUGUUCCAUCUAGCUUGUGGGGUUCCUAACAGCUCUGCAGCUCUGCAAAAGGUUUUCUGGAUUUUGUUUGUAUGCGUUUCUUAGGAAGAAAAGGGGAUUCCCCCUCCAUUAGUUAAAUUGAAUAAUUCAACUAACAAGUUAUACUCCCUUAACAAAACAUUGUAGCGUAUCCUGGAUGUGACUGUGUCACAUCACAACAUAAGAAGAAGUCUGUUGCAUCAGGCCAUGCAUAGGCCCAUCUGGCUUGACAUUCUGUUCACACAGUGACCAGCUAGGUGCCUUUAGGAAAUCCACAAGCAGGACCUGAACGCAAUAGCACUCUUCACAUUUGUGAUUUCUAGCUGCUGGAAAUCCCAUCAAUCAGUCAGUCAUGUUAUUUGUAUGCUGCCUUUCCAAAUUUAAAACCAUUUGCUGGAAUAGUUACUGGAAAAUUGGGGCAGCAUAAUGAGUUGGGUUGGUACUAUGAUGGGCCUCUACUUGCAGCCCUCAACAAAAGAUCUAAAAUAAAUUAACCCUAGUUUUAAUUAAUAUGUUUGAUCCCAAGUUAUCUAACACACUUCUCACUUCUGUUGAUUCUCUUCUCCUGUUGCAGCCUCCCAUGUCCCAUUCCAUGACAUUCUGGAGAGCACCUUCAAGAGUUUGUUUUAUUCAGGCUUUGAAGGUGAUGGGGGCUGAAGCAUGAAGGUGGCAUUGGGAAAGUACCCUUGCGUAAGGCUAACUCCCCUGGAGAUUCUCUGGACAUAACCCAGUGUUUGUUUUUAAUUACCGGUAGGCAGCAUUUGUAUGUUCAUAUGAACUUGGAUAUAGGAGGUCUGUUUGUGCUGCACCCUCUGCCACUGUGGUUGCUGAUAAUGUUUAAAGGAGGGAUGGGAGACCUGUGGUCCUCCAGAUGUUGCUCAAUGACAACUUCUAUCAUUCCUGAGCAUUGUCCACAUUGAUGGGGCUGAUGGAAAGUGGAGUCUAACCACAGCUAGAGCACCACAAGUUCUCCAUGCCUGACUCCUCCCCAAUUAUCUACCCCACUCUUUAUACAAAAUCUUCCUUUUUUUGGGUCCUGUUGCCCUCUUAAUAGUCCUUAAUGCUGUCUUGAGCAAUUUUGUUCAGAAAGGUUGGAGAGAUGUCUUCUGUGCUAGUUGAGCCCUUCUCUAACUGGCAGUGGAAUGGUGCAUGUCUUAAAGGUCCAGAGGUAUUGCCUUUCUCAAGGGCCCAAUGUUUCUGUCAAAAAGGCAAACUUCAUCUUAGAUUUUUGUAGUUCAUCAAAGUUCCUCUGCUGCCUCAGUAGACACUCGAAACUGUCAUGGGCUGAGGGUUAUACAAACACACUGCCAGAGGUUUAACAGUGGUUAAGAAAGUUAAAUACUUGGGGGUUAACAUGACAGCAAAAAAUGGGAAUUUAUUUAAAGAUAACUAUGAAAAAUGCUGGGCUGAAGUGAAAAAAGAUUUAGAAAUUUGGUCAAAUUUGAAGCUUUCACUGCUGGGCCAUAUUGCUGCGGUAAAAAUGAAUGUAUUGCCUAGAAUGUUGUUUUUGUUUCAAACAUUGCAAAUUGUGGACAAAAUGGACUGUUUCAAGAGGUGGCAGAGAGAUAUUUCUAAAUUUGUCUGGCAGGGCAAGAAGCCUAGAAUAAAAUUUAAAAUAUUAACAGAUGCAAAGGAAAGAGGUGGAUUUGCCCUGCCAGACUUUAAACUUUACUAUGAAUCAGCAGCUUUUUGCUGGUUGAAAGAAUGGUUGCUUCUUGAAAACAUUGACAUUUUGGAUUUAGAAGGUUUUAACAAUGUAUUUGGAUGGCAUGCAUAUCUGUGGUAUGAUAAGGUCAAAGCACAUAAAGCAUUUAAAAAUCACAUCGUCAGGAAAGCAUUGUUUAAUGUCUGGAUAAGAUACAAGGACUUAUUGGAAAAUAAAACUCCAAGGUGGCUGUCACCGAUGGAAGCAAAAGCUCUGAAAAAGCUCAAUAUGGAGGCCAAAUGGCUGAAAUAUUGGGAAAUUUUGGAACAAGAUGGAGAUAGACUGAAAUUGCAGAGUUUUGAGAAAUUACAAAACAAAGUGCGAGACUGGCUUCAUUAUUAUCAGAUAAUGGAGGCAUAUAAUCUGGAUAAGAAAAUUGGUUUCCAGGUGGAAAAAUCAAAAUUAGAAACAGAACUAUUAGAACCCAAAACUAAGAUUUUGUCAAAGAUGUAUAACUUGCUGUUGAAAUGGAAUACUCAGGAUGAAACGGUGAAAUCUGCUAUGAUUAAAUGGGCACAAGAUGUUGGACAUAACAUAAUGAUGGCUGACUGGGAACAGUUAUGGACCACAGGUAUGAAGUUUAUGGCAUGCAAUGCCUUAAGAGAGAAUAUUAUGAAAAUGAUGUACAGGUGGUACAUGACCCCAGUCAAGCUUGCAAAAAUCUAUCAUUUGCCCGAUAAUAAAUGUUGGAAAUGUAAAGAAACUGAAGGUACAUUCUUUCACCUUUGGUGGACGUGCCCAAGGAUUAAGGCUUUCUGGGAAAUGAUAUAUAAUGAACUGAAAAAGGUAUUUAAAUAUACCUUCUUGAAGAAGCCAGAGGCCUUUCUCCUGGGCAUAGUCGGUCAAUUGGUGUCAAAGAAGGAUAGAACCUUUUUUAUGUAUGCCACAACAGCAGCAAGAAUACUCAUCGCGAAGUAUUGGAAGACACAAGAUUUACCCACUGUGGAAGAAUGGCAAAUGAAGCUGAUGGACUAUAUGGAACUGGCAGAAAUGACUGGCAGAAUCGGAGACCAGGGAGAAGAGUCGGUGGAAGAAGAUUGGAAGAAGUUCAAAGAUUAUCUACAGAAAUAUUGUAAAAUUAAUGAAUGUUAGAACGAUGUUGGAUAGAAAUUAAGUGGUUUCUAGCUGUAAUGCUUUAAGGGAAUAUGAAAAAGGGGUUGUUAAGAGGUAAAAAUCUAACGUUACUAUUUUAAGACCAAAGAUUAGGAUAAAUAAAGAGGGUAAGGAUUUGCUGAACCAACAAACUGAACUGGAAUACAAAAAGGGAGGUAUGAGGAGGUCCGGGAAACAAGCUAAGGAAAAAUAAGCAAUGGAAAAUUUGAGUGUUUUUAAUCAUUUUUAUUUUGUAUUUUUUUUUCUUUUUCAUUUUUCAUUGUAAUAUUUUAAAAAAAUCCUAAUAAAUAUCUUAUAAAAAAAACAAACAAACACACUGCCAGAGAAAAUCUCUGCCAUAUAGAACAAUGCACACAGGGCUGUAGUCCUUGGUCAGCAAACACUCGCAGCUGAGGUUGGCGAAUGGGAGCAAGUGACCUGCCUUGAAUCUAUCACCAGUAUCCCUUAUGUGUAGGGAAUGGAUGUGACAUUCUAUGAUCAUCUCCAAGACCAGCUUGUGCAGUUCUCUCAGGGCAGAAGGGGAAGGGGAGCGAACAACCUGAGGCCCAAGGAAAGGGUUAUGGGAAAGGCCAGCAUUACACCUUGAGAGGUUUUGGAAAGUGGCAUUGUUUUGCUCAGCAUCCCCCCACUUACCAUGUAAGGAACAUGUGGAAAUCAGGAAGGAGGAGAGGAGAAAUGACCAAAAAUUUCUACACAUUAUUUCUCUCUUUCUGCCCCACCUAUUUUUUUCCCAUUCAUUUUAUGGUGGAUAAGGAAUGCUGCCAUGCUACUUAAUAAUGUGUUGGUCCCGUUGUCACCCAUAUUAGUUAAACUUAGCUGUUGGAAGAAGUAUAGAAAGCUAUAAACAGAAUGACCUCUUUUGUCAUUUUUAUAUUUUGGCCAUUUGCGAUAGCCUGGAAAUGUAGGAGUGCCUUAAAUAUUGGUAGCAGCUCAUCUCUUACAUGAAAUUUGGUUCAUUGUUUUGGAUUCUUUUCCACUAUGAAUGUUCUGUUGCAAUGGGUUGAAGAGGCCAACAGUGUGCUGUAUGACACAAAGCAUGCAGAAGUUAGAUUUGUUCAGGUGCUGCAAUCCCCCACAUGAGUACCACCAUGUGUGUAGGAGCGCAGAUGUGUGUGCUAAGCUGUAUCUCAUCUCCAUCACCCUCUAUGAGUUGGAGAAUCAACCUCUGAAGCAGAGUGUCUCCUGUGCUGUCAGAAGGGCAUUCAGAACCAUGCUGAUAGUCUCCAUAAAUACCAGCGGCUCCUCCCACUUCAGACAAUCAACUUGUGGAGGACAAUGGGACCAGGGUGGAGUUUCAGGCAUUCACCCCUGCUCUUCCCCCUCAAUGCUACUCACCUGGGGAAUUAUAACACCUGAACAGAGCUAUAAAGAAGAAUCUAACUAUAGGUGAUUGGUGUAAAUAAGGGUUUGCUGAAAUUAAAAUAACCUCAAGUGCUUAGAUAAUGGCGUAGCUUCAUGAUGCCCUAGUGUUUAUGAAAAACAAUUACUAAAAAGCUUAAUGUGGAAAUGCAUAAUGUGAGAAAACCUUAGAAUUGUACCGAGUGCCAUGAAUAUUUUCUGAUCAAAGCAUCAAACACUUAGUGAGAUGUGUGGGUGACAGUAUAUAUUUUAGUAAGGAAGGAUCUAAACCAUUUCUCUUUCUCCCCCACCCCACUUAAUUCUUCUAGUGGGCCAGAGUGCUACAUUAUUUCCCUCCCCUCAAUAUUGGUUGAAGUUAAACAUCAUGAAGCCAAUUCUAAGCAACUGGCUCAAAUUUAUUUUGCUUUUCUUGCAAACAUAAUCUAGUGUAUGAUUACAUUUAUCUAUGUGUUUGUUUGUUUUUAAAACAGUAGUCAUCUGUUUGGGAGCCACAAGUAAAAGACAAAUUAAGAAAUUUUACUGAGCUGACACUUUAAAAAAGUACUGUGUUUCCCUGUAGUCACAUGUACAAGCAGUCCAUCAAAUCACAAGGUCAUUUGUUUGAUAGAUAAAGGCAGGAUAACUUAACAGACAGACAAAAUAAAUGGUCUCUGCAUGCUCUUUGUUGUGUUAUGGAGAGCUCAGAUAAGUGUCAUUUUUAUAAAUCUUUCUUACACCCACUCACACCACUUACCACUGAGACAUUCGCCAAGCAGUUUACAAAAUAACAUAUAAAAUAUUAUAUUUUAAUUUAUUUAUUCAAUUUCUAUCCUGCCUUCUGUAUAACGUUGGCUGGUGAUCUGCCAAGCGUGUGUGUAUGUGUGGCAGCCUGUCUUUAACAUAUCUAUUGGGAAUAAUCUUAUUUGUUGUCUUACAUAUAUCCAUGGCAUGUAAAACUUCAUUCCUUUUGCUCUUCUCUUGUGGCAUGCUGUCAUCUUAGUACUUGUAUACUAUGGUCUUCUGUUUUUGCAUGUCAGUGUAUUUUGGUUAUAGAGUAUACUGCCCCACUGGUAAUAGGGUAGGCUAGAUGAUGGUCACUUCCCUUGCCACUUCCUGUGAGGUACUCCAUGAUGUGAUAUGAGCAGAACCAACCUUAAGAACUUUGUGAGUGUUUUAAUUUUUUCUUAAUUAACACACUUAAUUAACAACUUUUUUAAAAAAAUGAUAAUUUGGCCUUCCUAUUUCCUACUUUACCCUCACUUGAUUAGAACUGUGAGUCUAGAUCUGAAGGAAUGUAAAGUGGAAACAAUGCCAUUUUCUUUUGCACCCCCCAUGUAGGAUCAAAACUUGGCCACCCCCCUCCAUUUCUAACACUAGUCAGGAUUCUGAGGUUUUGCUCUUUGCCAUUGGAUGGGAUUACCAAUCACUCAGAAAUCUGCCUUGCACUUGUUCAUAAAAGCUUAUUGCUACCCCUUUUAAUUAGAAUAUGCUCAGUUGAUAUCAGUAGUUGCUAGUGUUUAGUAAGUCCAUGGUCCAGCUCACAGAGCGUAUAAGAAGCAAUAAAAGGAAAAAAUACUGCCUGAGAGCAUUUUGUCGAAGGAAAGCAAAAUAGCAAUUGGGAUCGUCCCUUGAGUGCUCCUUGCCUAUCAAAACUUUAGUAUAUUGGUUUGCUCAUCUCUUUUGCUAUCACAUCCAUUAGAUGCAUCAUAAUUUGAAAAAUUUGACUUUGGCAGCGCUGGUAAGGAAGAACAUAAGGCUUUGGAAGUAAGGCUGAGGCAAAUAUGUGUGGCAAGGGAACAAUACUGGGAAUUAGAGUAUUAACAGCAGGGUACUGAGAGAUCUGAAUAACGAUCAAGUGCUGCAGGGAAUAGUCUCUCUAAUUAGAUGGCUGCAAUGAUGGUAUUAGUGUCCUGCAGUUGCUGUUGAUGUGUUUUAACUGCAGGGCUUUGAACAACGUAAGUUUUGGUGAUGCUGUCCUCUGGACUUAUGGGAGUUCUUUAAAGAUUUUUCUGUCUUCAAAGGAAGCAGCUUGUUUGAUGAUUUAUUGAUCGAUUAAUUAAUUGUAUUUCAAUUCUGCCCUUCUUCCAGGAUGAUCGAGGUUCUGUUUGGGAGGGGCCAUUGCUCAGUGGUGGAGCAGCUGCCUUGCAUGCAGAAGGAACCCAGUUCAAUCCCUUGCAUCUCCAGGUAGGGCUGGGAGAGAACCCUGCCUGCAGAGCCACUGCUAAAUGGACCCAAUGGUUUGAGGAUAUGCAGGUUCCUAUGUUCCUGUUAGGGCUGUUGGGAGGAGGAGAGUCAUCAUUAUGAUUUCCUCCUCUGUACUGUAAUGUGAAAUCUAGGCAGCUGUCCAUGGCUUUUGUAUGCUCUCCAGUACAUUUUUGGAAUCCACUUUGUUAUUUAGUUGCACCCUGAAGGCUAUGAUACGUUUUUUUCAAUCUGUCCUCUUCCUCCUUCUGGAACAAGCCAACGGCAAAUAUGCACAUUAGCAGGCAGCAAGCGAGGUGCAAUGCUAAGAAGAACUGAAUUUAGUUAAGCAGCCAGUUACCAAAGAGGAUUACAAGCACUAUGAAGGAUUAAAAGUUGCAUUAAAGAAAGAAAGGACUAGAAGUGGAUGGCAUUUAUCCAAAGAGUGAGCGCCACAACAGCCCUGCAGAGAAUUUUAGGCAGCGUUUUAUGGAAUCCCAUCCUAUUGAUUGGAGUUGUCCCUAUGAUGUUUUAUCUUGAUAAAUGAUCCACUUAAAGAGUCAUUAUCAUUCUUGAGACCCCUUGUUAGGCUUAUAUUAUAAUUAGGUCAGAUAAAAUAAGACUGAGAGGUUAAUCAGUGAAAUUUAUGCCUCCUAGGGACAGAUAAAUUAACAUUUUGUAGAAGUCCAUCCAAACACAACGCCAGCAAGUUAUUGAUCAUGCUGUAUGUCUUUGCCUGCUCCCCCUCCCACUCAUCUCUUGUUGUCUAAAGAAGGAUUUUAUUUGACAGCUUCAAGGUGUCUAAUUUAGGUGCCUUUUUGGGGAAAUUUGCACAGAAAAUUGGUUUUUGCCAAAGCAUGAAACAAGACAUAAAGACUCCAAUAAAGUUCUUAUUGGGUCUCAUAAAAUUCAGUGCAUAUUUAGUCCUCCUCAAACUCUUAGCAAUGAAUUUCAUUAGCUUCAAAUACUGUGUGCCACAGUUUGUUAAAUAUGAAAUGAUGUUUUUUCUAGUUCAGGGGGAAAGCAUUUAGCCAUUAUCUCUUCUUGGGGGCAAAGGCAAGGACACGUAUGAGUAACUUCCUGCAGUUUACUCCAGCCGUGUCUGCUCACCCUUGGAUCUCUCUGUUUGCUCAUCCACCUGCCUGGAAUUUUCCUCAUUGAUCCUCAGGACUGGUCAAACCUCUUCCAAAUGGACUCAUUGGAACUGGGCAGACUUUUGCUCUAGACUGCUCUUCCUGUUAGUACAUGUGAAAGUGCCUUUAGGCAGAUCUUCAUCCUAGAUGUAGGUUUUCCUGUGGGAAUUCUUUCAUCAGUUCCUCUUGAAUCCAGACACAGCCCUGCUUGGACUCAUGUUUUCAGGAAAUCAGCAUGCUUGUAUUAUUAUUAUUAUUAUUAUUAUUAUUAUUAUUACUAUUAUUACUUUUCUGUACUGCCCUUUACCCGAAGAUCGCAGGGUGGCUUGCAAUACAAAAACACAAAAAAUACAUACCAUAAUAACAAACAAACACUAUAUAGUAUUAUUAGCCUGUACUAGUUAAGGUUCCAGCAUAGGCACAGCCUCAUAGGAUGUGACAUGUAAUUUCUCACAGAAGUGAUAUGGAAAAUGUAGGCUUUGUUUCUCAGGUUGUCUGUUUUGUAUAGGCUACCACAGAGGAAAUGUUAGCUGCACAUACAAGCACACACAUUUACACACACAAUGGUCCAUUCUGCUUUGACAUAUCUGUCUUGUUUAGUGCUGGUAUUACAAGUAGCAGCAGUGAGUGACGUGUUACCCAAGUGAAUUACAUCACUUUGCCAGGAAGAAAUGCAGCCAAAUUCUGUACAAAUGGAAUCUGCUCCAAAAUAUACAGUUCAUGUUAUAGGUGGAAUUGAAUCAUGACCAGGACAUAUCAGAAUCCAUUAACAGGUCAUUGAUUUCUUUAAAUUUCUUUUUUCUUUUUUAAAUUUCAUGAGGUUUCUGUACCACUUGAGUGCAACAAAGCUUCAAAGCAGUUUACAAAAAGCUGAUUUCUGUUAAGUUGUGAGGCUAUGAUAGGUCUUGUCAUUAGCGUGGCAUGCAGUGACAUCAUCAACCUCCCAAGGCACGGGAGACCUCUGGGCUUUAAAAGCAUGACCACCCUGUUUAUAAAUGAAGCUGAGGCUGUUCUGCCACAUUUCUUUUGCUCAUGACAUAAAAGGGUAAUAACAUUCAAUUUUACUAAAUGGGCAACAGAAUUUCUUAUUUAUUCCUACAUCUUCACCUGAUGAUUAGCGUGGAUUAACUAUUUACAUCAACAUUCCCAUUCACUGAAUGUCUCAUGUAUAGAUUUGGAUGACUGUAUGCAUAAUAGAAAACAUUAAUAUUCAAGAUCAUCCUUAUAGAUUCUUGGUGAUAAUCUGACUAAGUCAUAUUCAAAGCAGAGUCUGCUCUGAAUAUGACUCAUAUUUCAUAUCACCCAUUGUGAUGAGCUAAGCAUGUGAUAUCAAGAAAAUAAAUGCAUCAAAUGAAAGCAACCUCUGUGUAUAAAGCAGGAAUGAGCUGAUUUACCUGAUUUCCAUGAAGUUGCAAAUCAAGAUAUUUGACUUGAUUUAGCUCAGUGAAGAGCAUUACAAGAGAAACAAUGACAACAAUAAACUAUACUGUCCCUCUCCCUUUGUCUCUGUUUGUCAUGUUCACACUUACACCUCAGUAUAUGUGGUGUUGAUUGUCAUGUCUACAAAUACAGCUGCCUCAUUUUUGGUGUAUUUCUGUGCACCAUAGGAACUGUAGAAAAUGACCACAAGAAAGUCAGUCAAGUUGUUGUAGCCCUUGUAAGAGAAAUGGAGAAGUGGGGAACUACUGCAGGGAUUUGAUCUGAUUUUGCAUAGUGUAACCCUUAUACCUACUUGAAAAGGAUCAAAGGUAUAAUAUCAGCAUCCUGUUUUAACAUGAGAACUCUGUAGUAAAAUACAGUCCAGGUACUAACCUAAUGCCAAGGGAUGGGGCCAUUUCAACACAGGAAUGUGUAUGGUGUGACUGAAGAACAGGUGGUUCCCUUCAGAUUUUCCAAAAGAGAAAUUAGGAGGGAGUUUUGAUGCAAGCAUCUGGAUGGGAUGUCUCAUUGUCUGCAUAUAUUUCAGCUACUUUUCCAAGCACUACCUCAGCAAACCGAAAUUAAUUGAUAACACUGAAAUUGUGUGUAUGUAUGUGUCUGUGGUGCGUUGUGUUUGUGCAGUUAGGAUUUGAAGGCUAAUCUGUAAUUACCCCCUGAGUUAGAUUAAUUUCAAGGAAGGAGAGAGUGUGCUGGGCUGCAGUAAAUACUGAUGCAGUUUGCUGGUAUUCUGUUCUUUUCAAAGGGUUGGUGAGUCGAGAUCAUUGGCUGCGCUGAGGAGCUGUCACAUUCUCAGUGCUGGAGAGGUGCAGUGCAAGUGAAUGGAAGCAGCAUUUGAGCUCUCUGUGUGCAGAGGCUUCAGAAACCUGAAGAACGAUGAAUCAAAUGAAUACUCGAGUUUAAGGCUGAGAUUCAGACUUGUACAAAUCUGACAGCAUCCCAGCCUCUAGAGCCAUAAGCACUCGUAGGAGGGGAGAGAGAGAGAAAGAAAGAGAGAGAGAGAGAAAGAAAGAGAGAGAGAGAGAGCAACAGCAGAAGUCUGAGCAAGAAGGACGGAUUUCUAGCCAUUUGCUCCAUAACUCAUUGUGGAAUUGUGCGCUAUCCUGGGUGCUGAAACAUGAACCAAACUGCAACAGUG
rnacentral:lncRNA from 1 species